rnacentral:lncRNA from 1 species
GAGCCAUGAAAUUUACUGUCUUCUCAUGAACAUUGUACCUCCAAAAGCAUGAUGCAAUAAGCAUUCAAUAAUCUGACCUAGUUUGCUCAACAGAUGCUCCAAGAUAUUCCAAAACAAAGUCAUAGCAUUUUCACAUAGGGAACCGAAGAAUCUAUUGAUACCUUAUCUUGCAACUCUUAAGAGGCUCUUCUGUCAACAAUCUUCCUCUUCUAAGCAUGCAACUUUUUAAAGAAUAAAAGGUUUGUCUCUGCGAAUAAUCAAGUUCCAAGCCCACUAUUGAAAAUCAUGUUCAUCCACUCUACACUUCCAAAGCAGCAAACUAACAAUUUCAAAAGCUUUAAAUGCAAUCUGAAUACAUGGCAAGUAGGGGUAAACAUGUGAACAGAAAAAUCAGUGAACAUAAUCAAAUCGAAUAAGUCAAUUUUGGCCGAGAUUGAAAUGAAAAAAACAAGGAAAUGCUUUGUCUAUCGAUUUGUUUAUGAAAAUGGCUAUUCUACAAGAUACAGCAUGACAGGUCUUAGCUAGAACAAGUAACCGGCAUGGAAAUGCUUUAUGAAGCAAGAAUAUGAACUCAAGAGCUUUGUGCCAGAGAGACUUCAGAAAAAUGAAAAAAAAAAAUAUAAAAUAUGGGUAAGAAUAAACAUCGAUCAGACAAUAAUUCACGUAUAAAUCAUUUUUUCAACUUUAAAGUGGUGGCUUAAAAAGAAGCUUUAAACAAGUAGCAAUAAUUUCAUAUUGAAAAAUAAAACCUAUUUCAUGGAUAUUACAAGAGCAUUUAUUUUGAAAAACACACCUUUUGGUUCUUCGCUGCCUGACUUUUAAGAAGAUCUUUGUCCUUGUGACGAUUCAGAUUCUUUAAAAUAUCUUUGCAACGGAAUAAACAAAACCAAUCUAGGCCAAAAUUGACUUAUUCGAUUUGAUUAUGUUUACUGAUUUUUCUGUUCACAUGUUUACCCCUACUUGCCAUGUAGUUUUCGGGGUGUUAGAGCAUAGUGCUCUUCUCUUAACACACAAGUUUUGAUUUUAUUCUUCGUAAAUUAAGAGACCGUUUGAUAAUCAUUUCGUUUUCAGUUUAAAAAAUAUAAAAAACUAAAUGGAGUUUUCAAAAUUUGGCCUAGAAUUUUCGCUUUUGAUUUUUAAUUUUAAUUUUUUUUAAAACAACUGAAAACUAAAAAUAAUUACAAAAGGAAAUUUUCAGUUUUAAAUUUUCCAAAAAGUAAAAACUGAAAACUCUAAACUAUAGACUAAAAAUUAAAAAGUGAAAUCGAAAUGGGCUUUCAACGAAAUUGAAAAAAGACUGGGCUGAAUUAGUGAAUUCAAAGCAGGGCUUAUUAACUCUACGAGGCCCAAUGGAUCCGCAUAAAUAUUUAUCGAUAUUUUUACGCUACGAGACUCAAUGGAUCUGUAUAAAUAUUUUUUUUUUUUACAAACGAUAUUAUUUAUAUGGGCUUAACCUUAAAAUGAGCUAACAAUAAUGUGGUUCAAAUUUGCUUUUGACGAGAAUCGAACAUAAAACUUCUUACUUACAAAUGAAAAGAAAUACCACUAAAUCGUAGUCUGAGUGGCUCGUUAUUUUAUUUUAUAUUUUAAUAAAAAAGAAAGAAAGCAAUGAAAAGCUGUACAUAAACUAAAUACAAAAAGGAAUGAAAUGAAGAAGAGUGGGAGACGAACGUUUAAUUCAAGAUAAAGAAAGAAAGGUAAUCGCACCACGACGGCGGCGACGUGGCGGUCAUUUAACGGAAAAUAACAGACAAAUCAGCCUCCAGAUCAAGUCUUGAAGCACAACUCUGAAAAAUCGAGACUACCUACAGCUGAGCUCCGACCAACCGUUGAUGGAUGCAAUCCGGAAGCUCAGAGAUCAGGUCGCCAAGCAACAGCAGGUACUCUCUCUCUUGUUUGAUUCCGAAUUUGUAUUUCUGUAUGGAUUUUGAUACGAGCAUAAUCUGCGUUGAUUGCGAGAUACUAAGAUUGCUUAAUGAAAUGAUAUUUAUAUAAUUGUUCGAAUUGCAUUGGAUCGAUUCGAGUAGAAUUUCACUAUUUCUGAGCUGUUUGGGGCUGUGUUAGAGUGCAAUGUUGCUGAAUUUCUGAAAUUUUGAGCUAGGUGUUGCUGAUUACUUAUCGAUUUUCGGAUUUAAUUGGAUGCUUAAUUUACAUUUUCGGAAAACUUCAAGCGAAAAUGGCAUAUAAUUCAACGUUCUAUGCCUCAUUAAUGCAUAAGAGUUAGUCGAAGCUUGAUCGAGUUUGCUUUUGAUUAUUUUGUGAACACCGUCAGGCUGUGUUCAAACAAUUUUCUGGUGGCAUAUAUGGGGGAUCGGAUAAUGUUGCCUCGGAUGAAAAUGAAUUUCAACAGCAUCAGAAACUCGAGAAGCUGUACAUAUCAACUCGUGCUGCCAAGGUUGCUACGCUUAUUUUUGUCUGUGCUUUAAACGAGCAUCACGUUAGUUGUGUUACCUAUCGUUUUUUGCUUCUUCUUUAACAGCAUUACCAAAAGGAAAUUGUCCGCGGAGUGGAAGGUUACAUUGUGGCCGGUUCAAAGCACGUUGAAAUAGGUAUGUUGCUUGAAAUGUGUUGUCUUUUCUUGGGAGUUUGGAUAUGAAUUCAUGUUGGUUUUAUCAGUUGGUAUACAUGAUACUUUUUCAACAGGUACCAGGCUAUCAGAAGAUAGCAGGAAAUAUGGUUCUGAAAAGACUUGCACCAGUGGUAACACAUUGUCCAGAGCUGCACUGAGUUUUGGAAGAGCUCGGGCCCAAAUGGAAAAAGAGUGUGGAGUUCUACUUAAAGCUCUUGGCACACAGGUUUAAGUCAAAUUAUUACUAACAAAGCUCAACAACAACAACAACAACAACAACAACAAAGCCUUUUCUCACUAAGUGGGGUCGGCUAUAUGAAUCCUAGAACGCCAUUGCGCUCGGUUUUGUGUCAUGUCCUCCGUUAGAUCCAACUACUCUAAGUCUUUUAGGUCUUCCUCUACCCCUUCGGCCCUGAACCUCUGUCCUAUAGUCACAUCUUCGAACCAGAGCGUCAGUAGGCCUUCUUUGCACAUGUCCAAAUCACCGGAACCGAUUUUCUCUCAUCUUUCCUUCAAUUUUGGCUACUCCUACUUUACCUCAGAUAUCCUCAUUCCCAAUCUUAUCCUUUCUCGUGUGCCCACACAUCCAACGAAGCAUCCUCAUCUCCGCCACACCCAUUUUGUGUACGUGUUGAUGCUUCACCGCCCAACAUUCUGUGCCAUACAACAUCGCUGGCCUUAUUGCCGUCCUAUAAAAUUUUCCCUUGAGCUUCAGUGACCUAUGACGGUCACACAACACGCCGGAUGCACUCUUACACUUCAUCCAUCCAGCUUGUAUUCUAUAGUUGAGAUAUCCAUCUAAUUCUCCGUUCUCUUGCACGAUAGAUCCUAGGUAGCGAAAACGGUCGCUUUUUGUGAUCUUCGCUAGAUUGCUCCGGUCAUUAGUGUGGAUAAGUAUAUAAAUGGAUAGAGACAGGAAAGCAAACACAAGAUGUACGUGGUUCACCCAGAUUGGCUACGUCCACGGAAUAGAGAAGUUCUCAUUAAUUGUGAAGGGUUUACACAAGUACAUAGGUUCAAGCUCUCCUUUAGUGAGUACAAGUGAAUGAUUUAGUACAAAUGACAUUAGGAAAUAUUGUGGGAGAAUGAUCUCGUAAUCACGAAACUUCUAAGUAUCGGAGUGCGGUAUCGUCUUGACUUGCCUUAUCUGUCUCAUAGGUAGAUGUGGCAUCUUCUUUGGAAGUACUCUUCCUCCAUUAGGGGUGGUAUCUUUAACUGGUGGAGAUGCACAAGGUAAUGUAUCAAUUUCACUUGAAGCUUACUUGUAGUUUCAGGCUUGGUCAAGCGCGAUACAAACCAUGUAGUAGGAGUCCCCCAAGUCGCCGAGCUAGAGGAUCUGCUGAAAGAGGUGACAGACAAGGUAAGCAAUCAGAGCUCCGGCUGAUUGUUCACAUUCUCCCUAUCUUGCAGGCAGCAUGAAGGAUAAAGAGAAGAACAUGAGAAGAGAUGAUAUGGGAUACUUUUGCUUUUGAAGAAGUAACUUUCCACAGGCUUAUUCUUGAACUGAGCUGGAGGGUUUUCUGGUUUCCUCCAGAGUAUAAGGCCGACUGAAGAAUUUGAGGGUCAAAACAAGUCCAUCAAAUCUAGAGUACGUUCGACCCUGCUGAUAUGGGAUACUUUUGCUUUGACAGAGUAAUGGAUGUAUCGGCACGUGUGCUGUUUCGCUUGUCUCCACAUGCUUCCUUGUAUCCUUCUCCCUUGCCCUAUCUGUUCCUCAGGCAGAGAUGCGGUAUCUUCCCUGGAAGCAUAAGAUGUUGAAGAUGAGUACUUGAGAGCAAUGGCAGGUAAGUAAUCAGGUAAGGGGUUCCAGGCAGUCAGUUCCUGGCUGGAAGCUUGAUUCCAAGUGCUGACUGAUUGCUCUCUUUCUCCUUGUCUUGCAGAUAAGAACAAGGCCAAAGGAAAAGACAGGGAAAAAAGCAUGAUAUGGAGAUACUCUUGCUUUUAACCCUGAUGAUAUGAGAUAUUCUUGCUCUAGUAUAGCUUGUUUGCAGAGGAUAUUAUCGGGGGGAAAGAAAGCUGAAUAUUUCGAAAGGCUUCGUUGGGAGUGCCCUCUCAGAUAUGAGGAAGGGUUGAGCAUUUUUGCAGGUCUGCCUGUCCGUUGGGAAUGGAGGUCGACAUAUAUAGGAAUCUCCUUAACAACAAGUAGUAAUGCUAUUCCUUUACCCUACUUGGUCAUAGCACGGUAGUGGGAGCUGCCAGCUUCACAUGUUUUAACUCUGUCAGAGCACUUUGAAAAAGUGGUCUGUGGUAUCUGGAAAUGUGAUGUUGCGUGUGAAGAUUACAGACAGCUUUAUCCAAGGAGAUCCGGCUCUUGAAGUUGGGAAAGUGUUGCCUCUUCGGUUUUCGAACAAGCAAUCCUAUCGGGGAUCUGGCUCUCGAGAUUCGGAGAACGAUGCCUCUUCGAUUUUUGAGAAAGCAAUCAUGCUGGGGGUCUGGCUCUCGAGAUUUGGAGAGCGGUGUCUCUUCGAUUUUUGAGAAAGUAAUCAUGUUGGGAGUCUGGCUCUCGAGAUUCGGAGGGCGGUGCCUCUUCGAUUUUGGAGCAAGCAAACUUGUUGGGAGUGUUUUCUCGAAUGUGAGUAAAGGUUGGGCAUGUUUGCUAGUCUACCUUGCCACGAAGCACAGAGGUUGACACAUAGGGACUUUCCAAUUAUCCAGCAAUGGUACUGUUCCUUUACCCUCUCUUCGAUUUUUGAGAAAGUAGUCAUGUUGGGAGUCUGGCUCUCGAGAUUCGGAAGGACGGUGCCUCUUCGAUUUUGGAGCAAGCAAUCUUGUUGGGAGUGUUUUCUCGAAUGUGAGUAAAGGUUGGGCAUGUUUGCUAGUCUACCUUGCCACGAAGCACAGAGGUUGACACACAGGGACUUUCCAAUUAUCCAGCAGUGGUACUGUUCCUUUACCCUUGUGGGUAAUAAUAUGGUAGCUAGACCUUCAAAAUUUAUGUGUCUAAACUUUGUUAGUGCUGUUUCUUUGCUAUUGUUUUUACCCUUCUUGGUCAGAGCGAUGUAGUGGGAGCUGCAAGCUUCACGUGCUCAACUUUGGCAGAGAACUUUGGCAAAGUUAUCUGUGGUACCCAUGAGCUACUGUUGCGUGUGGGAAGUGGGUGAUUGAACAGUAAGAUUCAUGUGCUUUCUACUUCACCAGAAGUCUUCGACAGAAUGCCCAUAAUUUCCGCAAAGCUGAGUGUGCGUGUGACAGGUGCUGACAAGGCUGGAAAAGUAGGUGCCUCUUCGAUUUCUGAGAUCGGCCCUCGUGGUCUCUGAGCAGCCCAGCUUUUGAGAAAGCAAGCGCCUCUUCGAUUUCUGAGAUCGGCCUUCGUGGUCUUUGAGCAACCCAGCUUUUGAGAAAGCAAACGCCUCUUCGAUUUCUGAGAUCGACCCUCGUGGUCUCUGAGCAGCCCAGCUUUUGAGAAAGCAAACGCCUCUUCGAUUUCUGAGCAGGCGCCUUCUUCGAUUUCUGAAGCUCCGUCGAGUGCAGAUUUUUAUAGGGGCUGGCAUUAAGUUCCAAAGCACACUUGAAUCUCCACCAGUAGAAGCUCCAUUCUUGCACUUCUAAGAUCUUGAUUUGUCCGACCUCUUCUCUCUUCAACACCUUUGAAAAUGUCUGGCCCCUCCGACCGUCGUUUUUGACUUGAACCUUGUUGAAGAGGCAGCCACGCCUUCUCCAGACAACAUAUGGCGCCCAUCAUUCGUCUCCCCUACUGGUCCUCUUACCGUUGGGGAUUCCGUGAUGAAGAAUGAUAUGACCGCUGCGGUGGUGGCCAGGAACCUUCUCACUCCCAAAGAUAACAGACUACUUUCCAAACGGUCUGAUGAGUUAGCUGUUAAGGAUUCUCUGGCUCUCAGUGUUCAGUGUGCAGGUUCUGUGUGUCUAAUAUGGCCCAACGCCUAUUUGCUCGAACCCGCCAAGUUGAAUCAUUGGCGGCUGAAGUGAUGAGUCUCAAACAGGAGAUUAGAGGGCUCAAGCAUGAGAAUAAACAGUUGCACCGGCUCGCACAUGACUAUGCUACAAACAUGAAGAGGAAGCUUGACCAGAUGAAGGAAUCUGAUGGUCAGGUUUUACUUGAUCAUCAGAGAUUUGUGGGUUUGUUCCAAAGGCAUUUAUUGCCUUCGUCUUCUGGGGCUGUACCGCGUAAUGAAGCUCCAAAUGAUCAACCUCUGAUGCCUCCUCCUUCUAGGGUUCUGUCCAGUACUGAGGCUCCGAAUGAUCCCCCUCCGGUGCCUUCUCUUUCUGGGGCUCUACCGACUGCUGAGACUUCUCCUAAGCAACCUUUGUGAAGGCUCCCUCUUGUUUGUUUAUUUUGACUCAUGUAUAUGUACAUAUUUGUAGCUUAUCGGGGAUAUCAAUAAAUAAGCUUUCCUUCAUUUCAACGUAUUGUGUUAAAUACACCAAAGCCUUCUUCGCUAAGUUCUUUGAAUUUUCUUUUGUUGAAGCUUUGUGAGUGGAGCAUGUAGGUUGAGGUAGUGUUCCCUUAAUUUUCCGAGUGAGGAAAACUUCUCGGUUGGAGACUUGGAAAAUCCAAGUCACUGAGUGGGAUCGGCUAUAUGAAUCUUAGAACGCCAUUGUGCUCGGUCCUGUGUCAUGUCCUUCGUUAGAUCCAAGUACUCUAAGUCUUUUCUUAGAGUCUCUUCCAAAGUUUUCCUAGGUCUUCCUCUACCCCUUCGGCCCUGAACCUCUGUCCCAUAGUCGCAUCUUCUAAUCGGAGCGUCAGUAGGCCUUCUUUGCACAUGUCCAAACCACCGUAACCGAUUUUCUCUCAUCUUUCCUUCAAUUUCGGCUACUCCUACUUUACCCCGGAUAUCCUCAUUCCUAAUCUUAUCCUUUCUCGUGUGCCCACACAUCCAACGAAGCAUCCUCAUCUCCGCUACACCCAUUUUUGUGUACGUGUUGAUGCUUCACCGCCCAACAUUCUGUGCCAUACAGCAUCGCCGGCCUUAUUGCCGUCCUAUAAAAUUUUCCCUUGAGCUUCAGUGGCAUACGGCGGUCACACAACACGCCGGAUGCACUCUUCCACUUCAUCCAUCCAGCUUGUAUUCUAUGGUUGAGAUCUCCAUCUAAUUCUCCGUUCUUUUGCAAGAUAGAUCCUAGGUAACGAAAACGGUCGCUCUUUGGUAUUUCUUGAUCUCCGAUCCUCACCCCUAACUCGUUUUGGCCUCCAUUUGCACUGAACUUGCACUCCAUAUAUUCUGUCUUUGAUCGGCUUAGGCGAAGACCUUUAGAUUCCAACACUUCUCUCCAAAGGUUAAGCUUUGCAUUUACCCCUUCCUGAGUUUCAUCUAUCAACACUAUAUCGUCUGCGAAAAGCAUACACCAAGGAAUAUCAUCUUGAAUAUGUCCUGUUAACUCAUCCAUUACCAACGCAAAAAGGUAAGGACUUAAGGAUGAGCCUUGAUGUAAUCCUACAGUUAUGGGAAAGCUUUCGGUUUGUCCUUCAUGAGUUCUUACGGCAGUCUUUGCUCCUUCAUACAUAUCCUUUAUAGCUUGGAUAUAUAUGCUACUCGUACUCCUUUCUUCUCUAAAAUCCUCCAAGAAUGUCUCUUGGGACCCUAUCAUACGCUUUUUCCAAAUCUAUAAAGACCAUGUGUAAAUCCUUUUUCCCAUCUCUAUAUAUCUUUCCAUCAAUCUUCGUAAGAGAUAGAUUGCCUCCAUGGUUGAGCGCCCUGGCAUGAACCCGAAUUGGUUGUCCGAAACCCGUGUCUCUUGCCUCAAUCUAUGCUCAAUGACUCUCUCCCAGAGCUUCAUUGUAUGACUCAUUAGCUUAAUACCCCUAUAGUUCAUGCAAUUUUGUACGUCGCCCUUAUUCUUGUAGAUAGGCACCAAAGUGCUCGUUCGCCACUCAUUUGGCAUCUUCUUCGUUUUCAAAAUCCUAUUGAAAAGGUCAGUGAGCCAUGUUAUACCUGUCUCUCCCAAAACUUUCCACACUUCGAUUGGUAUAUAUCGUCUGGGCCUAUUGCUUUUCUAUGCUUCAUCUUCUUCAAAGCUACAACCACUUCUUCCUUCCGGAUUCGACGAUAAAAAGAGUAGUUUCUACACUCUUCUGAGUUACUCAACUCCCCUAAAGAAGCACUCCUUUCAUGUCCUUCAUUGAAAAGAUUAUGAAAAUAACCUCUCCAUCUGUCUUUAACCGCGUUCUCUGUAGCAAGAACCUUUCCAUCCUCAUCCUUGAUGCACCUCACUUGGUUUAGGUCCCUUGUCUUCUUUUCCCUUGCUCUAGCUAGUUUAUAGAUAUCCAACUCUCCUUCUUUGGUAUCUAGUCGUUUAUACAUAUCGUCGUAAGCCGCUAACUUAGCUUCUCUCACAGCUUUCUUCGCCUCUUGCUUCGCUUUUCUAUACCUUUCACCAUUUUCAUCGGUCCUAUCCUUGUAUAAGGCUUUACAACAUUCCUUCUUAGCCUUCACCUUUGUUUGUACCUCCUCAUUCCACCACCAAGAUUCCUUUUGGUGUGGGGCAAAGCCCUUGGACUCUCCUAAUACCUCUUUUGCUACUUUUCGGAAUACAACUAGCCAUGGAAUCCCACAUUUGGCUAGCUUCCCCCUCUCUAUCCCACACACACUGGGUGAUUACUUUCUCUUUGAAAAUGGACUUGUUUUUUUCUUCUUUUAGAUUCCACCAUCUAGUCCUUGGGCACUUCCAAGUCUUGUUCUUUUGUCUCACUCUUUUGAUAUGUACAUCCAUCACCAACAAGCGAUGUUGAUUAGCCACGCUCUCUCCUGGUAUAUAACUUUGCAAUCCUUACAAGUUAUACGAUCCCCUUUCCUCAUUAGAAGAAAAUCUAUUUGUGUUUUUGACGACCCACUCUUGUAGGUGAUCACAUGUUCUUCUCUCUUCUUAAAGAAGGUGUUGGCUAAGAAAGAGAUCAUAUGCCAUUGCAAAAUCCAAGAUAGCUUCCCCAUCCUCGUUUCUCUCCCCAAAACCAUGGCCACCAUGAAAACCUCCAUAGUUGCCUGUCUCCCUGCCCACGUGUCCAUUUAAAUCUCCUCCUAUAAAUAACUUCUCCGUCUGAGCAAUUCCUUGCACCAAGUCUCCAAGGUCUUCCCAAAAUUUCUCCUUCGAACUCGUAUCCAACCCUACUUGAGGUGCGUACGCACUAAUCACAUUGAUAAGUUCUUGUCCUAUUACAAUCUUGAUUGCCAUGAUUCUAUCUCCUACCCUCUUGACAUCUACAACAUCUUGUGUCAAGGUCUUGUCCACGAUGAUGCCAACACCGUUUCUCGUUCUAUUUGUGCCCGAAUACCAAAGUUUAAACCCUGAGUUUUCUAGAUCCUUUGCCUUACUACCAACCCACUUAGUUUCUUGUAGGCACAUAAUAUUUAUCCUUCUCCUCACCAUAACUUCCACUACUUCCAUAGAUUUUCCCGUUAAGGUUCCUAUAUUCCACGUUCCUAAACGCAUUUUGCUCUCUUGAACUCUACCCUUCUGUCCUAACUUCUUCACCCUCCCCCGUUUAAUAAGAUCAAAGUACUUCUUUUGUGUGUCCCGUGUAAAGUUGAUAGGAGCAUAUGCUCCCAAACAACUUUGAGUGGAGUCGUUCGAAAAGAAGUUUCUAUGGCCCCCUUGCUCAUUUAACACUGCAUCCGGGUGCCGAUGGAGAUACAGUGACCCUUGCUCACUUAUCACUGUGCUCGGGCCACACAGCGCGCCACUUACGGGUGACGCCCUAGCUUUAGCGCGAUUUUGUUCUGGAUUCAUUUUCAUAAGGAUUCGACGUGAUCAUGGAGUGCCGGCUGUCGACUACCUGACGUCCUCCCCCUCCUCCUUUAUCCGGGCUUGGGACCGGCAAUGUAACAAAGCUCAUUAAGUAAAAUUCAAAUAUUGCCUGGGCCGGCUUCAUACAAAUGGAAUUUCAACUGACUAAUUUUCGUGUGCAUUUGAUCAUUUCGAAAGAAAUUUACAGUAAAAAUUGUUUCCAUUUUCACGUGUGGUUCAAGAACUGGACUACUUUUUGUGUUAUUAUGCAUCAUAUGACAAACUGGUUCACCGUUUCUUUCUAUAGGUUUGCAUAAUAACUCCUUCUGUGCUUAUCAAUUUGCCUGUGUAGGUUGCAGAGCCUUUAAGAGCAAUGAUAGUGGGAGCGCCCUUGGAGGAUGCUUGACAUCUUGCUCAACAAUAUGCUAGAAUGCGGCAAGAAGCUGAAGCUCAGGUAUAUGCAGUUUCUUCUGUUUCCUCCCAAUUUUAUACUACAGUGAUUUUACAUGUUACGUGGUGAUCGUACAUUUCUUCGUUUAACUUUUUUUGUUUUCUUUUAAAAGUGUUUGUUCAUUUUGAGACAAUCAUGCAUUGGUAUUCAUAGAGAACGCAAAAUCUUAAGAUGUUUAAUGUAAACUUGUUAAGAUUGCUUUAUUACUUGAAGCUUUGUUGUAAUUUGGUUUUUGGUUUUUUUUUUAUUACUCCUUCAGAUUUGUCUAUAUAUACUAACUUGCACCGGGAUUCUGCAGGUAAUGCUGACAUUAUCAUGAAACUAGAAGCUGCUGAAGCCAAGCUUCAGGAGCUGCAGUCUACCGUUGCAAUAUUGGGAAAAGAAGCUAGUGCAGCUAUGGCUGCUGUUGAAGGUCAACAACAAAGAUUGACUCUUCAGCAGCUUCUUGCAAUGGUAAAGGAUUGCCUCCCCUUUUUGUUUAAGUAUGAAGACCUUGGCCUGUUCUAGUUACAAGACUGAAAAGGAAAUUAAUUUUGUAAAUUUGUCCUUUUUCAUCCCCAUUCAAGGUGGAAGCAGAGCGCAACUAUCAUCGGAACGUUCUUCAGAUACUUGAUCAGCUUGAAGGCGAGGUAUGAAAUAUCCUAAAGUCUUCCUUUCAGCAUGACAAUUUCGUAUCCCAAUUCAUUUGGCUCUAUAUUAUUCUAUUGUCUUGCUACUAAAAGCAGAGAUCAUUGACACUAUUUGUUGGGACAGAUUUUGGCAGAAAAGCAGCAAAUUGAAGCAUCGCAUAGUCCACCUACAGAGGACACUAUGCCUCCACUACCAUCGUAUGAGGAUCUCAGCCGUAGCUUUGCUUCUGAAACCUAUGAUGAAUUGACAGAGUUGAGGGACUCUUUCUUUGGAGGGGUAUCUUUAUGCUAAUGUUGUUGUAUCCAAGUUUUAGUCUGUUCGACUCUUUAGUUUCUAAUAACUGUUUCUUUUCACCUACCGCAGGUUAUGUACACCUUCCACGCUGUAACUGAUGUGGAGUUAAGUUUGUCAUUCGGGGAUUACAUUGUGGUCCGGAAGGUUCUGUCGUCUUUCCUGCUUGCAUGCUUUCAUCUUAUAUUCAUGUUCGGAUUUAUUUCUUUCGUAUUGAGGUUAAAUUUUCAUGUUCAGAGACGUCCACUCAGGUAUGUUCGUCAAUGCAUAUGCAUUAGCACACCACCGAGUGCAUUAGAAUAUGGAUUUCAGUUUUGGAUGCUUCAUGCAUUAAUGUAGUUUGUGUGGUUUUGGUUAUUGCUGCCGCUGAGCGUGAGUGGCUUUCUGUAGUUGCUGAGAGUUAUAUUGUGAGCAUAAUUCAUACAGCAGCUUUCAUAUACGGCACAUGUAGUCGGCAGCACUGCAUUUAGAAAGAGAGAGUUAUAUUUUCUUCACUGUUUAUUCAAAACUUAUAUGUUGCAUGUUCUGGCUUUUAAAGUGAGUCGGCAUCAGAGUUUUUAUUUGAGAAAAAUCAGUUUUGUGUCCAUGUGUUUUCAAAGAAAAUAUUUUAGUUUUUAAUCACUGAUUUUUCAUUGUGCUUCAAUUAGAAAUUAAUUAUGAGAAUCUGCCUUGUGAUUUUCGUAAUUGGUUGAUUCAAAAAAUCUUUACAUUUCAUACAUUUUGCAUGAUCUCGUUAGUAUCUUGCAAAGUUCAAUGACACAGUGAUUGACGGUCGCGUUAGUGUCGUGCCACUUUCACUUGAAAGCUGAAGAGAGAUCGAGUAGCAAAGCGCAAUGAAAAAAAUUGCAUACUAGUAUGUGGGCAGUGGCGGAUCCAGGAUUUUAAACUCGGGGGGUCCCAAUAAUAAAUUUCAAAAAAAUUAUAGACAAAAAUAACAUUAAAAAGUUAAAUAUAAUACAUUUCAUUCAAAAUCAUACGCAAAACAACAUUACAAGCUAUAAAAUCACAAAACAACAAAUCGUCGUUUUUUCUUUGCAUGCAAAGUGUAUGGGAACUCAUGCUUUGUAGGCCUACAAGGUCCCAUUUGCAAAUAUGUUCUUUGAACCUCAUCUUGAAUAUUAGAAGAAUAGUCCUUCAUUCGAAUUCUUUUUCUUGGGUCUCUCUCAAGAUUAUUAAAAUCAACGUCACACUCAUUUUGUCUUGAGCUCGAACUACCAGAACAAAUAAAUGGUGCUAUUGGCUUUGGAAGGAAAAAUCUUUCCAUAUUUCUUAUUUGUAAACUACAUAUUUAAGCAAAAACAGAAAACAUAUACCGAUUAACCAAUAAACAAAAAUUCCAUCUAAAUUCCAAUGAUAAAAUGAGUAUACAAACAUAAAACAUAUCAACAAUCAUAUCAAUAAUAGACUAAAAAUCUCCAUCAAUAUCUAAUAUAAUUUAAUUGAGAUUAGAUUAGAAUUCUAAAAAACUUAAUUGAAUUUUGAACCAAAUAGUGGUGGAGUGGAGAAUUAAAACAAGUGGAUGUAUGAUAUUGGACUUACGUAAUUAUAAUAUGGGAUUGGGUCAUGGGUGAGAUUAGAAAUUUAGGGUUUUGAAAUGGGGGGAAAGAGGGAACCAAAUAAUAGGGAAUUGGGGGAAAAGCAGCAGGGAAAGAGAGAACUUUGGGGAAGGGCUCAGGGGGGCUGGGCUUUAAAAUUAAAGCAAUAUUGAGUCAUCAUGCAUGGCAAACGACAACGUUUGUCUACCUUUUUGUUUUUUUAUACUUAAAACAAUGGGCCAAAACACAGCCGUUUUGGACCAAUUGGUAAAAACCCCUAUUUUCUUUCUUCUUCCCGCAGCGUCUUCUUCUUCACUGCUACCUGCAACUGCAACCUGCAACCUGCACAGCAGCUCAAACCUUGUGUUCGAGGGGUCCCCCGGAAAUUUUCUAACAGGGAUUUAGGGUCGCCGAAGGGUCCUAGGACCUCCCAGGUCCCUCUGUAGAUCCGCCACUGUAUGUGGGUCUAGUUAAUGAGUUUUGUAAGUCUUUCUAUACUCAUUUCUCUUAUUAUUUGUCAUGACUUAAGAGUCUGAGGAUUUUCUCAGUGGUGAGUUUUACCUUGUUAAAUCCUACAUCAUAUGUACACAUGUUAUUUGUCUUUUUAUUGCAAAUGUGUAGGAUAAUCUUUCACUUAUUUUCUUAUAGUGAACUCUAUCUUAGACAUUCAUCAACAUAUAGAGUUUACGACAGAGGACUUUUGCUACUAUUAUUCAGUGCAUUGAUUAAUUUGUAAAGCGCUCAUUUAUCCUAAUUAUAAAAUAUAAUGUGUACAAGACAUUAAAAAAAUGGAAGUGUCUUUCAACAGUUUGAAUGUCAUGUAUGGCCAUAUCCUUUAUUUCCACCAUUCUUAUCAACCGAAUGCGGAGAGAUUGUCUUUAUCUCACAAACCCAUAAUGUGGCAAUCGUCCAUUAGAAAGGUAACGUACGUUUUGAAAAUCGUGGCAAAUAUUGAAUGAGUAAUGAUGCCUCUAAAAAUAAAGUAACGAAUAAUCAACAGAAGUAGCAGUACAUCAAGUUGGAUCUUUUUCAAUGUUGAAAUGAAAUAUGAAAGUAGAUCAAGUUGCUAUUAUUCAUCCUUUUUUUUUUUUUAAAUAAACAAUAUUGUUUACAUUAAGAAGAGGAAGAAGUUAGCUAAGUCUUACAAUACGCUAGCAAUAAUAUGGUUAAAAUUCGCAUUUGGUAAUAAUCAAACCUAAGACUUCUCACGUACAAGUGAAGAAAAAUUUCAUUAGACCGUAACAUUAUUCAUCCACUUUUACAUAAUGAAUAAUCAAGAAAAACAUUGCACGGGUCCCCCUUACCACUAGUGGCCAUCACUUCCCUGAGCAAAAGAGAUCUUUCAAAUGGAGGAGGAUUCUUUACCUUCCUAUUUCCAUUCUCUUCCAUUUUCUCAUCUCACACAUUACUUUUUAUCUUAUUAUCUCUAUAAAUAAAUCAAUAUAAAAUGUUGACACACAUUACUUUUUAUCUUAUUAUCUCUAUAAAUAAAUCAAUAUAAAAUGUUGACGUGGUUUAACUGUGACUGUUCCAAUAGAAGGAGAUGGAAAAGUAGAGAUAUUAGGAGGGUAGAGAAUCCUACUUCUUUUCCAAUUGCUUGAUCAAAACAAGCAUUGACUUGGCCGUCCAUUCAUCGAUAACAGGUCCACAUCUCAAUCCAAAUAUAAUGACGUCAAAGGAGAGGGGAAAAUGAGAAGGAAACUUUGGAGGGUAGAGGGAAGGAAAAGGAGAAAGGGAGAAAGGGAGAAAGUAGAAGGGAAAAGUAGAAAGAGAAGAAGGAAAAUGAGAGGAAAUUUCGGAGAAUAGAGAAAAUGAGAAGGAAACUUUGGAGGGUAGAGGGAAGGAAAAGUAGAAAGAGAAGAAGGAAAAUGAGAGGAAAUUACAAGUGCCACAUUAUUAUGCGGUUCUAUCAAGUUUUAAUUUUUGUCUCAUAACCACAUCAUUUUUAGGAAAAUCAAUAUUGGAGUUGAAUAUAUAAACCUUCGAUAUGGUGAUAUUGGAAACAAUAGUUGGUGGGUUGAUUGGUAGAAAUGGUUCCAACAAUUCAAGGACGAGAAAUGAGCAUUGAGCAACGAUCAAAAUAUGUUGUAUUUUAUUACAAAAGAUCUUUGUGCAAUUAAAAAUGCAUUUUAUCACAAAAACAUGAGCAACGAUCAAUAUAAUUGUUAUUUAUAAAAUCACACAUAAAACAAGAAGUAAUCUUUUCUUUUUCUUUUCAUCCCUGCCACUAGCGGCCGACCAUGACUUAAUUAAAGAAACGCUUUUUGGGUUAAUGGAUGGGAACGACCCAUUUUAUAAUUGUUUGUAAAUUUUUCUGGAAGUAGAUGUAAAUGACCCAAUUACAUAUUUCCCCUGCUCACAGACGUUUGCAUUGCACCUAGCAAACACCAGUUUUUUUGUUUAAGCAUCGAUCCACAUCAAUGGCUCUUGUGAGAACAUCUCCAGGAACCUCAUCUGAUUCCAACAAUUUUCGGGGUUAUCGCUACGACGUGUUCUUAAGCUUCAGAGGCGAAGACACUCGCAAGACUUUUACCGACCACCUCUACACAGCCUUGAACAACGCAGGAUUUCUUACGUUCCGAGACGACGAUGAACUUGAGAGAGGAGAAGAUAUAAAGCCAGAACUGCAGAAAGCGAUACAGCAGUCACGAACUUCUGUUGUCGUGUUUUCGAAAGAUUACGCGUCAUCCAGGUGGUGUCUUGAUGAGCUUGUGCUGAUCCUUGAACGCAAGAGGACCACCUCGGACCAUGUAGUUUUACCAGUCUUCUACGAUGUCGAUCCGUCCCACGUGAGGAAGCAGACAGGAAGUGUUGGAAAAGCAUUUGCUAGAAGCCAGAAAAAUCAGUCGUCGGAAAAGGUGGAGGGAUGGAGGAAGGCACUUGCAGAGAUUGCAGACCUAGCAGGCAUGGUCUUAAAAAAUCAAGCUGAUGGGUAACUUUCAUUAUCUCCAUUUCUCUUCUCUUUGUUGGGUCAAUUUGAUGUAUGAUCCGUAGUGACAUAGAUUUUUAUAUAUUUAUUAAUUCAAUCUCAGUAGUGAAUAAUAAUCCCAAUUUAGGUCAACUUAAAGAAAGCACACUCAACUCAACUUAAGGAUUAGUCAUUUUCCAUGUUAAUCUACUGGUUUCCAGGUGCUUAAAUUUUGUUUGAAAGCUGGUGUGGAAAAAAGUUAGGAUGUGAUCUGUUUUGUAUUUGUCUAUAGUUUGUAUAAAUUAUGCGCUGUAUUCUUUUUUUUUUUCAAUUUAAUUUUGUCAGGCAAUCAACAUAUGUUUUAAUUAUCUAAUUUCCCCAAUUCAUUUUUCAUUUUGUUUGCAAAUUCUUAGGUACGAGGCAAAGUUUAUCGAAAAAAUUGUUAAAGUGAUAGAAGACAAGUUAAGUCGUAUGCCAUUGAGUGUUGAACCAAAAUUGAUUGGUAUUCAAUAUCAAGCCGAACGCAUCAAUUUGUGGUUACAAGAUGGAUCAAGUGGUGUUGGUAUAUUUGUUGUGUAUGGCAUGUCUGGAAUCGGGAAGACAACCAUUGCAAAACAUGUUUACAAUUCAAACUUUAGAAGCUUUCAAGGAAGUAGUUUCAUUGAAAAUAUCAAAGAAACAGCAGAUCGACCAAAUGGCUUAGUUCAAAUACAAAUGCAACUUCUUUGUGAUAUUUUGAACGGCAGAGAAGUGAAAAUACACAGUGUUAGUGAGGGAAUAAUUAAGAUUGAAAAGGCCAUAAGCUCUAAAAGAGUUCUACUUGUUCUUGAUGAUGUUGACCAUAUGGACCAAUUAGAUGCAAUCCUAAGGAUGAAAGAUCAGUUUUAUCCUGGAAGUAAGAUACUAAUAACAACUAGGCGUGAAAGGUUGUUAAAGGCUGAUCAAGUUACAGAGGUGCACAGAGUUCAAACUUUGGAUGACAAUGAAUCAUUAAAGCUUUUCAGUUGGCAUGCUUUUGGCCAGGACCAUCCCAUAGAAGAAUACAUGGAGCACUCAAAACAGAUAGUGCAACAUAGUGGCGGACUUCCAUUAGCUCUAAAAGUUUUGGGUUCUUCUUUAUCAGGAGGAAGUAUAGGUGUAUGGGAAAGUGCAUUGGAGAAGCUAAAAGUUAUUCCUGAUGGUGAAAUCAUGAGUAAACUAAGAAUAAGCUAUGAAAGUUUAAAAGAUGACCAUGACCGGAAAUUAUUCCUCCACAUUGCUUGUUUCCUAAUAGGAAGGAACAAAAGCUACAUUGUUAGAAUAUUCGAUGGAUGUGAUUUCUAUACAAUCAUUGGCAUUCAAAAUCUCAUUGAUAGAUGCUUGGUGACACUUGAUGAAUACGGCAAGGUGGAAAUGCAUGACAUGAUUCGUGCUAUGGGAAGAGAAAUUGUUCGCCAAGAAUCAGAAGAGCCUGAGAAACGUAGUAGAUUAUGGCACCAUAAGGAUUCUUUCCAAGUAUUGAGGAAAAAGAAUGUAAGAAACAUGCCUUUUAUGUCUAUAUAUGUAUUUCUUCUUGUGAAAAUUACGCAUAUUAAUGUCUCUUUUUUUUCCUUUAGGGUACAAAAAAAAUCCAAGGUCUUGUCCUGGAUAUGCGUAACCAUCCAGCAAACAGUCCAAUAAACACAAAUGAGAUAGUCUUGGAAACCAAUGCAUUUGCAAGGAUGUGCAAUUUACAACUACUCCAUCUUAGUCAUGUACGACUGGAUGGAUGUUAUGCAGAUUUCCCUACAGGAUUAAGAUGGUUGUGUUGGCUUGAAUUUCCUUUGGAUUCUAUACCAAUUGAUUUUCCUUUGGAGAACGUAAUUGUUCUUGAAAUGCAAUACAGUAGCUUGAGACAAGUAUGCAAAGGAACAAAAGUAUGUUACUCUAUGCAUUUCAAUUCAUUUUCCUUAUUUUGUUAGUUUUUUAUUUGUUGACCAACUCCAUGUGUUAAAAUGAACUACUAUGUUUUCUUUAAUUCGAUGACUAAUUUCUUAUGUUAGAUACUUAUUUCAUUGUUCUUUUUUCUUUUCUUUUUUUCCCUCUGUUUCCACAGUUUCUUCCAUCGUUGAAGAUCCUUGACGUCAGCCAUUCUCAUGGUCUUAGUGAAACCAUUGACUUCUCACGUUCCUCCAAUCUAGAGGAACUAAUUCUUGUAGAUUGCACAAGCCUGGAGAAUGUUCAUGAAUCCAUUGGAAACCUGGAGAGACUCGUGUACUUGAAUAUGAAGGAUUGCAAGAAUCUUAGGAAGCUUCCGAAGAACAUGUGCAAGCUUAAAUCACUUGAAAUACUCAUUUUAUCUGGUUGCUCAAAUCUUGAUGAGGUUCCAGUGGAGAUGAUGAAGAAGAUGGAGUCUCUGAAAGUUCUUGAGACGGAUGGAAUUCCAAUAGGUGAAUUGUGGCCAGAAAGAAGUUCAACUAUCUUGAGUUCUUUUCCGUGCUCUUUGGUAGAGUUAAGUCUGAAGGGGUGCAAUCUUUCUGAUGAUGUCUUUUCUACGGAUUUAAGUGCUCUAUCCUACUUGCGAAGACUACAUUUGGAUGAGAAUCCAAUUUGCAGUCUGCCAGUUUUCAUCAAAGGUUUGAGGAGGAUCGAUGAACUCUCUUUCAAGGGUUGUGAUAGGCUCGAAUCGCUUGUGGGGUUGCCGGAAGUACACCAAAGGCUAAGUAUAAAAGAAUGCAUAUCAUUAAAAAAAAUAACUUUUCAUUCCCCUGGGCAACAUUAUCUAACACGUGUAUUUUGCCAUGACAACCCGAAUCUUGUUGAGUGUGAGUGCUAUUACAAGUUAGAGCCUAUUGAUAGAGUUGAUGUGGAAAUGAUCAAACUUUUGGGCUUGUGCAACUUGGAAUCCAUGCCAGCUGUUCGAAUGCAUCAUCCACUCACAAACUGGGAUCUAAUAGAGGUCCCCGUCCAGGUGCGCCUCUUUUUCUCUCUCUCUCAUAAGUCUUAAAUAUAUAAUGGGAAAGAAAUGACUGAGUAAUGUUGUGAUGACUGUGGCAAAUACAUAGGGACUGUAUCAACAUGGUAUAUUCAGCACCUUUUUUGUUGGGAAUGAGGUUCCAGGCCUGUUCAGCUAUAAAAGUACCAAGUCCUCGAUAUCUUUUAUUGUCCCUUUACUACUUGCUAGUCACAGAAUUCGAGGCUUGAACAUCUUUGCUACCUAUGCAAAGGAAAAUUCAAAUAAUUAUUCUACUAGACCUAAUAUUGGUCCAAUAAUGAUCAAAGUGAGAAACAAGAGUAAGGGUCUGAAGUGGAUCUAUGACCCAUUUUUCUAUGGAAUCCCAAGUGACGGAGAAGAUAUGAUAUGGUUGAGCCAUUGGAAGAUGGAGAAUAAAACAAUAUUACAAUGUGGAGAUGAAGUGGUGGUUUCGGUAAUAACUGGACCACGUGACAUGUUUUGGGUCAAGGAGUUUGGUGUCGAGCUUGUGCAAGAGCACCAAGACAAGAUGAGUACCCAACACAACACCAAAUCUGAUCCUAAUUAUCCAUUUGUUAUUGAUGGAGAUUUGAAGAUGUUUGAGGACAGACCGGGAAAAUACUUCCUUGGCAGUUAUUUUAUAGAAGAAAUUGAUGACAUUGAUAUCCUCACCAUGGACUCUGAUGAAGAAGACACAAGUAUGUUGUGUUGUUGUAUUGCAUUGAAUUAUACUUCAUCCAAACACUUCCAGGUGUGUCCGUAUUCAUUUCAAAAACGUUUCCAAUAAAUUUUAUGUUAUUUGUAUGUUUUUCAGACAAAGAAGGGCAAGAGGAUGAACCUGAUUACACAAUUGCAAAGACGAGGGCUGCUAGCAAUAACUGCAGCCUGAGAGGCUGGAAGGUGCGCCUCACAGCUGUCGGCUUCUUUUUCGCGCUUGCUCUAGUAGGUUGGUCCUCCAUCUCCCAAAAAAAGAAGCGACAAUCGUCCACAAGCCCACCAUGAGUUUGUAAUUUGACUUCAAAUGUGCUUGCUCUAGUAGCUAAGCACUCUUAACCGCUUGAGAUAUAAAAGCCCAUUGCAACUAGAUACUGAACUUCAAAUGUGUUCAACGCCAUCAAAUAUAGCAUAAAAUACAUCCAGCAUUAGGUUCCAAGCCCACUAUUGAAAAUCAUGUUCAUCCACUCUACACAUCCAAGGCAGCAAACUAACUAGGAUACCAGGUUGGGAGGAUACAAUCAUUAACAAUUUCAAAAGCUAUAAAUGCAAUCCGAAUACAUGGCAAGUAGGGGUAAGCAUGUGAACAAAAAAAUCAGUGAACAUAAUCAAAUCCAAUACGUCAAUUUUGGCCUAGAUUGAAAUGAAAAAAACAAGGAAAUGCUUUGUGUAUCGAUUUGUUUAUGAAGGAAAUAAAACAUAUUUCAUGGAAAGAAAACCUGUGGUUACCUUUGUCUUCCUCUGCCAUUUGUCUAUCGAUUUGUUUCUGAAAGUGGCUAUUCUACAAGAUACAACAUGACAGGUCUUAGUUAGACCAAGUAAACGGCAUGGAAAUGCUUUCUGAAGCAAGAAUGUGUACUCAAGAGCUUUGUGCCAGAGAGGUCGUCGUACCCAGUGCACAAGGCUCCCGCUUUACGCAGGGUCUGGGAGAGGUGAAUGUCGGCUAGCCUUACCCCUAUUUAUGGAGAGGACUUAAGAAAAAUGAAAAAAACAAUAUAGAAUAUGGGUAAGAAUAAAUUUCGAUUAGACAAUAAUUCACUGUAUAAAUCGUUUUUUCAACUUUAAAGUGUGGCUUAAAAAGAAGCUUUAAACAAGUAGCAAUAAUUUCAUAUUGAAAAAUAAAACCUAUUUCAUGGAUAUUACAAGAGCCAUUAUUUUGAAAAACACACCUUUUGGUUCUUCACCACUUGACUUUUAAGAAGAUCUUCGUCCUUGUGACGAUUCAAAUUCUUUAAAAUAUCUCUACGACGGAAUAAACAAAACCAAUCUAGGCCAAAAUUGACUUGUUCGAUUUGAUUAUGUUCACUGAUUUUUCUGUUCACAUGUUUACCCCUACUUGCCAUAUAGUUUUGGGGUGUUAGUGCAUAGUGCUCUUCUCUUUACACACCAGUUUCAAUUUUAUUCUUCGUAAAUUAAGAGACCGUUUGAUAAUCAUUUCGUUUUCAAUUUAAAAAAUAUAAAAAACUAAAUGAAGUUUUCAACUAGAAUUUUCGCUUUUGGUUUUCAAUUUUAAUUUUUUUUAAAACAACUGAAAACUAAAAAUAGUUGCAAAAAGAAUUUUUCAUUUUUUUUUAAUUUAUAAAAAAGUAAAAACUGAAAACUCUAAACUAUAGACUAAAAAUUAAAAAGUGAAAUCGAAAUGGGCUCUCAACAAAAUUGAAAAAAGACUGGGCUGAAUUACUGAAUUCAAAGCAGGGCUUAUUAACGUUACGAGGCCCAAUGGAUCUGGAUAAAUAUUUUUCAUUUUUUUUUAACAAACGAUAUUAUUUAUAUAGGCUUAAUUUUACAGUGGGCUAACAAUAAUGUGGUUCAAAUUUGCUUUUCGCAAGAAUAGAACCUAAAACUUCUCACUUAUAAAUGAAGAGGAAUACCACUAAACCGUAGUCCUGAUAGAUUCGUUAUUUUAUUUUAUAUUUUAAGAAAAAAGAAAGAAAGCAAUGAAAAGCUGUACAUAAAAUAAAUACAAAAAGGAAUGAAAUGAAGAAGAGUGGGAGACUAAUGUUUAAUUCAAGAUAAAGAAAGAAAGCUGAUCGCACCACGACGGCGGCGACGUGGCGGUCAUUUAACGGAAAAUAACAGACAAAUCAGCCUCCAGAUCAAAUCUUGAAGCACAACUCUGAAAAAUCGAGACUACCAACAGCUGAGCUCCGACCAACCGUUGAUGGAUGCAAUCAGGAAGCUCAGAGAUCAGGUCGCCAAGCAACAGCAGGUACUCCCUCUCGUUUGAUUCCGAAUUUGUAUUUCUGUAUGGAUUUUGAUAUGAACAUAAUCUGCGUUGAUUGCGAGAUACUGAGAUUGCUUAAUGAAAUAAUAUUUAUAUAAUUGUUCGAGUUGAAUUGGAUCGAUUCGAAUUCAAAUAGAAUGUCACUAUUUCUGAGCUGUUUGGGGAUGUGUUGGAGUGCAAUGUUGAUGAAUUUCUGAAAUUUUGAGCUAGGUGUUGCUAAUUACUUAUCGAUUUUUGAUGUAAUUGGAUGCUUAAUUUUUACAUUUUCGGAAAACUUCAAACGAAAAUGGCAUAUAAUUCAACGUUCUAUGCUUCAUUAAUGCAUAAGAGUUGGUCGAAGCUUGAUCGAGUUUGCUUUUGGUUAUUUUGUGAACACCGUCAGGCUGUGUUCAAACAAUUUUCUGGUGGCAUAUAUGGGGGAUCGGAUAAUGUUGCCUCGGAUGAAAAUGAAUUUCAACAGCAUCAGAAACUCGAGAAGCUGUACAUAUCAACUCGUGCUGCCAAGGUUGCUACGCUUAUUUUUGUCUGUGCUUUAAACGAGCAUCACGUUAGUUGUGUUACCUAUCGUUUUUUUGCUUCAUCUUUAACAGCAUUACCAAAAGGAAAUUGUCCGCGGAGUGGAAGGUUACAUUGUGGCCGGUUCAAAGCACGUUGAAAUAGGUAUGUUGCUUGAAAUGCGUUGUCUUUUCUUUGGAGUUUGGAUAUGAAUUCAUGCUGGUUUUAUCAGUUGGUAUACAUAAUAUUUUUUCAACAGGUACCAAGCUAUCAGAAGAUAGCAGGAAAUAUGGUUCUGAAAAGACUUGCACCAGUGAUAACACAUUGUCGAGAGCUGCACUUAGUUUUGGAUGAGGUGGGGCCCAAAUGGAAAAAGAGUGCGGAGUUCUACUUAAAGCCCUUGGCACACAGGUUUAAGUCAAAUUAUUACUAACAGAGGCUAUUAAGUAAAAAUCAAAUAUUGCCAGGGCCGGCUUCAUACAAAUGGAAUUUCAACUGACUAAUUUUCGUGUGCAUUUGAUCAUUUCGAAAGAAAUUUACAGCAAAAAUUGUUUUCAUUUCCACGUCGUGGUUCAAGAAUUGGACUACUUUUUGUGUUUCUAUGCAUCGUAUGACAAACUGGCUCACCAUUUCUUUCUAUAGGUUUGCAUAAUAACUCUUUGUGUGCUUAUCAAUUUGCCUGUGUAGGUUGCAUAGCCUUUAUAGUGGGAGCGCCCAUGGAGGAUGCUCGACAUCUUGCUCAACGUUAUGCUAGAAUGCGGCAAGAAGCUGAAGCUCAGGUAUAUGCAGUUUCUUCUGUUUCCUACCAAUUUUAUUCUACAGUGAUUUUAUAUCCAAAACAAGCAUUGACUUGGCUGUCCAUCCAUCAAUAGCAGGUCCACAUCUCAACCCAAAUAUAAUGACGUCAAAGGAGAGGGGAAAAUGAGAAGGAAACUCUGGAGGGUAGAGGGAAGGAAAAGGGGAAAAGGAGAAAGGGAGAAGGGAAAAGUAGAACGGGAAGGAGGAAAAUGAGAGGAAAUUUCGGAGAAUAGAGAAAGGGAGAAGGGAAAAGAAGAAAAGCAGAAAAGAAGGGAAAAGGGGAAGGAAGCUUAGGAGGCUAGAGAAAAAGAUGGAAAUGCAUAAAAAUAAAAAAAUAAAAAAGGAAAGUCGCCUUCAUCAUUAUGUCUACUAACGGAAAGGAGCAACCACAUUGUAAAUUAUAUUUUGUAUAAUGAGAAACCAGUAUUCCUACCCUGAGGGUAUAGACACAACUUGCUGAAUCUCGUUACUAUACAGCAAGUUUAUAAUUGCACAAUAAUUCGAUCAAUCAUCUUAAGUUCAACCAUACAUGUAACAAGAUUUAAGUUUUUCCAAACUUUCCUUAUGAAGGUAACUGAACAUUACAAGUGUCACGUUAUUAUGCGAUUCUAUCAAGUUUUAAUUUUUGUCUCAUAACCACAUUACAAGUGCCACGUUAUUUAUUUUAUCCUUUAUUUUAUCUUUAUUAUUAAAACUUAAAAUUUUCAUAUUUUUUUAUUAAUUUUUUUUUAUAAAAUCACACGUAAAACAAGAAGUAAUCUUUUCUUUUUCUUUUCAUCUCUGCCACUAGCGGCCGACCAUGACUUAAAGAAACGCUUUUUGGAUGGGUCAAUGUAUGGGAACGACCCAUUUUAUAUGUUACAUGGUUGUGCAAUUAAAAGUGCAUUUUAUCAUAAAAAUGUGAGCAACGAUCAAUAUAAUUGUUAUUUAUAAAAUCACACAAAACACAAGAAGGAAUCUUUUCUUUUUCUUUUUCAUCUCUGCCACUACCAGCCGACCAUGACUUAAAAGAAACGCUUUUUGGUUCAAUGGAUGGGAACGACCUAUUUUAUAAUAAGAAAAAUUAAUUAAAAAAAUUUAAAAAUUUUAAGUUUUAAUAAUAAAAAGAUGUUGUAAAUAAAUAGUACAUAAUUGAUUUUUUUAGUAAAAGUAUAAUUUUUUAUUAAAAUUUCGUUCAAAUCCCCUUUAUAAUAUUGUUUGUAAAUUUUUCUGGAAGUAGAUGGAAAUGACCCAAUUACAUAUUUCCCCUGCUCACAGACAUUUUCAUUGCACCUAGAAAACCAGUUUUUUGUUAGAAAAUCGAUCCACAUCAAUGGCUCUUGUGAGAACAUCUCCAGGAACCUCCUCUGAUUCCAACACUUUUCGGAGUUAUCGCUACGACGUGUUCUUGAGCUUCAGAGGCGAAGAUACUCGCAAGACUUUUACCGACCACCUCUACACAGCCUUGAACAACGCAGGAUUUCUUACGUUCCGAGACGACGAUGAACUUGAGAGAGGAGAAGAUAUAAAGCCAGGACUGCAGAAAGCGAUCCAGCAGUCACGAACUUCUGUUGUCGUGUUUUCGAAAGAUUACGCUUCAUCCAGUUGGUGUCUUGAUGAGCUUGUGCUGAUCCUUGAACGCAAGAGGACCACCUCGGACCAUGUAGUUUUACCAGUCUUCUACGAUGUCGAUCCGUCCCACGUGAGGAAGCAGACAGGAAGUGUUGGAAAAGCAUUUGCUAGAAGCCAGAAAAAUCAGUCGCCGGAAAAGGUGCAGGGAUGGAGGAAGGCACUUGCAGAGAUUGCAGACCUAGCAGGCAUGGUCUUACAAAAUCAAGCUGAUGGGUAACUUUCAUUAUCUCCAUUUCUCAUCUUUCCUGGGUGAAUUUGAUGUAUGAUCCGUAAUGACCUAGAUUUUUAUAUGUUUAUUAAUUCAAUCUCAGUAGUGAAUAAUAAUCUCAAUUUAGGUCAACUUAAAGAAAUCACACUCAACUCAACUUAAGGAUUAGUCAUUUUCCAUGUUAAUCUACUGGUUUCCAGUUGCUUAAAUUUUUUUGAAAGCUGGUGUGGAAAAAGGUUAGGAUGUGAUCUGUCUAUAGUUCGUGUAAAUUAUGCGCUGUAUUCCUUUUUUUUUUCAAUUUAAUUUUGUCAGCAGUCCUCUUUUUUUUUUCUUAUUUAAAAAGGCAAUCAACAUAUGUUUUAAUUAUCUAAUUUCCCCAAUUCAUUUUUCAUUUUGUUUGCAAAUUCUUAGGUACGAGUCAAAGUUUAUCAAAAAAAUUGUUGAAGUGAUAGGAGACAAGUUAUGUCGUACGUCGUUGAGUGUUGAACCAAAAUUGAUUGGAAUUCAAUCUCAAGCCGAACGCAUCAAUUUGUGGUUACAAGAUGGAUCAAGUCAUGUUGGUAUAUUUGUUGUGUAUGGCAUGUCUGGAAUAGGGAAGACAACCAUUGCAAAACAUGUUUACAAUUCAAACUUUGGAAGCUUUCAAGGAAGUAGUUUCAUUGAAAAUAUCAAAGAAACAGCAGAUCGACCAAAUGGCUUAGUUCAAAUACAAAUGCAACUUCUUUGUGAUAUUUUGAACGGCAGAGAAGUGAAAAUACACAGUGUUAGUGAGGGAAUAAUUAAGAUUGAAAGGGCCAUAAGCACUAGAAGAGUUCUACUUGUUCUUGAUGAUGUUGACCAAAUGGACUAAUUCGAUGCAAUCCUAAGGAUGAAGGAUCAGUUUUAUCCUGGAAGUAAGAUACUAAUAACAACUAGGCGUGAAAGGCUGCUAAAGGCAGAUCAAGUUACAGAGGUGCACAGAGUUCAAACUUUGGAUUACAAUGAAUCAUUAAAGCUUUUCAGUUGGCAUGCUUUUGGCCAGGACCAUCCCAUAGAAGAAUACAUGGAGCACUCAAAACAGCUAGUGCAACAUAGCGACGGACUUCCAUUAGCUCUAAAAGUUUUGGGUUCUUCUUUAUCAGGGGAAAGUAUAGGUGUAUGGGAAAGUGCAUUGGAGAAGCUAAAAGUUAUUCCUGAUGGUGAAAUCAUAAACAAACUAAGAAUAAGCUAUGAAAGUUUAAAAGAUGACCAUGACCGGAAAUUAUUCCUCCACAUUGCUUGUUUCCUAAUAGGAAGGAACAAAACCUACAUUGUUAGAAUAUUCGAUGGAUGUGAUUUCUAUACAAUCAUUGGCAUUCAAAAUCUCAUUGAUAGAUGCUUGGUGACAUUUGAUGAACACGGCAAGGUGAAAAUGCAUGACAUGAUUCGUGCUAUGGGAAGAGAAAUUGUUCGCCAAGAAUCAGAAGAGCUUGAGGAACGUAGUAGAUUAUGGCGCCAUAAGGAUUCUUUCCAAGUAUUGAGGAAAAAGAAUGUAAGAAACAUGCCUUUUAUGUCUAUAUAUGUCUUUCUUCUUGUGAAAAUUAUGCAUAUUAAUGUCUUUUUUUUUUCCUUUAGGGUACAAAAAAAAUCCAAGGUCUUGUCCUGGAUAUGCGUAAUCAUUCUGCAAACAGUCCAAUAAACACAAAUGAGAUAGUCUUGGAAACCAAUGCAUUUGCAAGGAUGUGCAAUUUACAACUACUCCAUCUUAGUCAUGUACGACUGGAUGGAUGUUAUGCAGAUUUCCCUACAGGAUUAAGAUGGUUGUGUUGGCUUGAAUUUCCUUUGGAUUCUAUACCAAUUGAUUUUCCUUUGGAGAACGUAAUUGUUCUGGAAAUGCAAUACAGUAGCUUGAGACAAGUAUGCAAAGGAACAAAAGUAUGUUACUCUAUGCAUUUCAAUUCAUUUUCCUUAUUUUGUUAGUUUUUUAUUUGUUGACUAACUUCGUGUGUUAAAAUGAACUACUAUGUUUUCUUUAAUUCAAUGACUAAUUUCUUAUAUUAGAUACUUAUUUCAUUGUUAUUUUUUCUUCUUUUUUUUCCCUCUGUUUCCACAGUUUCUUCCAUCGUUGAAGAUCCUUGACGUCAGCCAUUCUCAUGGCCUUAGUGAAACCAUUGACUUCUCACUUUUCCCCAAUCUAGAGGAACUGAUUCUUGUAGAUUGCACAAGCCUGAAGAAUGUUCAUGAAUCCAUUGGAAGCUUGGAGAGACUCGUGUACUUGAAUAUAAAGGAUUGCAAGAAUCUUAGGAAGCUUCCGAAGAACAUGUGCAUGCUUAAGGCCCCGUUUGGGAUUGAGGUGAUUUUAAAAAAAGCCACUGUCAAAAAAAGCUGAGGAUCAUUUUUGUGUUUGGUAAACUGAAAAAAAAGGGCUUAUUUUGGAAGCUGCUGUGAGAAUAAGCUGAAAAUCAAAGAAAAAGCUGAAGCUGCUAUUUGCUGCUUUGAAAAAAAGCCAGUUUUUUCAAAGCACACGGAGCUACAGUGCUCCUUUAAUGAAAAGACACACUAUCAUCCUGCUUUUUUUUCCAAAAGCACUUUCACAAAAAAGUUUACCAAACACUCUACUGGCUUUAUUUCACAGCCGCUUAUUCUCACAGCACAGCUGCUUAUUCUUACAGCAGCUUUUUUUCAAAGCACAGCAAUACCAAACCAGCCCUAAAUCACUUGAACACUCAUUUUAUCUGGUUGCUCAAAUCUUGAUGAGUUUCCAAUGGAGAUGAUGAAGAUGGAGUCUCUGAAAGUUCUUGAGACAGAUGGACUUCCAAUAGGUAAAUUGUGGCCAGAAAGAAGUUCAACUAUCUUGAGUUCUUUUCCAUGCUCUUUAGUAGAGUUAAGUCUGAAGGGGUGCAAUCUUUCUGAUGAUGUCCUUCCUACGGAUUUAAGUAAUCUAUCCAAUUUGCAGUCUGCCAGUUUUCAUCAAAGGUUUGAGGAAGAUCGAUGAACUCUCUUUCAAGGGUUGUGAUAGGCUCGAAUCGCUUGUGGGGUUGCCGGAAGUACACCAAUGGCUAAGUAUAGCCGGAUGCAUAUCAUUAAAAAAAAUAACUUUUCAUUCCCCUGAGCAACCGUAUCUAGUACGUGGGGGUGACAACUCGAAUAACUGUAAUUGCUGUUACAAGUUACAGCCUUUUGAUAGAGUUGAUGUGAAAAUGAUCAAACUUAUGGGCUUGUGCAACUUUGAAUCCAUGCCAGCUGUUCAAAUGCGUAAUUCAUACACAUACAGGGAUCCAAAAGAGGUCCCCGUCCAGGUGCGCCUCUCUUUCUCUCUCUCAUAAGUCUUAAAUAUAUAAUGGGAAAGAAAUUACUGAGUAAUGUUGUGAUGACUGUGGCAAAUACAUAGGGACUGUAUCAAUUUGGUGUAUUCAGCACUUUUUUUGUUGGGAAUGAGGUUCCAGGCCGGUUCAGCUAUAAAAGUACGAAGUAUUCGAUAUCUUUUAUUGUCCCUUUACUACUUGCUAGUCACAGAAUUCGAGGCUUGAACAUCUUUGCUACCUAUGCAAAGGAAAAUUCAAAUAAUUAUUCUACUGGACCUAUUAUUGUUCCAAUAAUGAUCAAAGUGAGAAACAAGAGCAAGGGUUUGAAGUGGAUCUAUUGCCCAUUAUCCUAUGGAAUCCCAGGUGACGGAGAAGAUAUGAUAUGGUUGAGCCAUUGGAAGAUGGAGAAUAAUACAAUAUUACAAUGUGGAGAUGAAGUGGUGGUUUCGGUAAUAACCGGACCACGUGACUUGUUUUUGGUAAAGGAGUUUGGUGUCGAGCUUGUGCAAGAGCACCAAGACAAGAUGAGUACCCAACACAACACCAAAUCAGAUCCUAAUUAUCCAUUUGUUAUCGGUGGAGAUUUGAAGACGUGGAAGUGCAAACCAGGAAUAUACUUCCUUAGCUGUAGGAGACGAGAAGAUACUGACGACAUUGAUAUCCUCACCAUGGACUCUGAUGAAGAAGACACAAGUAUGUUGUGUUGUUGUAUAGCAUUGAAUUAUACUCCAUCCAAACACUUCCGGGUGUGUCCGUAUUCAUUUCAAAAACAUUUCCAAUAAAUUUUAUGUUAUUUGUAUGUUUUUCAGACAAAGAAGGGCAAGAGGAUGAACCUGAUUACACAAUUGCAAAGACGAUGGCAGCUAGCAAUAACUGCAGCCUAAGAGGAUGGAAGGUGCGCCUCACAGCUGUCGGCUUCUUUUUCGCGCUUGCUCUAGUUGGUUGGUCCUCCAUCUCGCAAAAAAAGAAGCGACACUCGUCCACAAGCCCACCAUGAGUUUGUAAUUUGACUUGAUAUAGAUAUAUCUUUGCAUUCCUUGCUCUCAAGAUGUUUUCUACCUUCGAAACUUCAAGUUUAGAGCUAAGCACUUUAACCGCUUGAGAUAUAAAAGCCCCUUGCAACUAGAUACCGAAGUUCAAAUGUGUUCAACGCCAUCAAAUAUAGCAUAAAAUACAUCCAGCAUUAGCGAUACUAGCAUAGUAGCAGUAAAUAAGUAAAACCAAAAAAUGCUUCCACACAUGGUAAGGGAAGGACUUUACAUAGGAAUCUUUAGCAAUAACGGGCAAGAUUUUUUUGUUUUUGGGAGGAGGUGGAUUAUUUCGGCACCGGGGAAAACAAAAACAUCCCAUCUUAGUUGUCGUUUACAACAAAAUCAUUCUUAAAGACUCGGCUCCCCAUUGAAAUUGUGUAAAUUGCAUAAAUAUCAAUACAACAGAUAUUAAAUAGAAUAAUAUAUAUCAAAUAAAUUAACGACAAGCAAUUUCUUAGCCUGAGAUCCAAGGACUUUACAGCUGGUUCAGCCUUGCAUUCGCUACUACAUUACAGAAGCUGGUUUCUGCUUCUUCAACCUGAACAAAUUAUUGAGGUCAGGAAGUAUAAGAGGAACGACCAUAGUCUCUGGAGCCAUGAAAUUUACUAUCUUCUUUUGGGCAUUGUACCUGCAAAAGCAUAAUGCAAUAAGCAUUCAACAAUCUGACCUAGUUUUCUCAACAGAUACUCCAAGAUAUUCCAAAACAAAGUCACAGCAAUUUCACAUAGGGAACCGAAGAAUCAUGUUCGUCCACUCUACACAUCCAAAGCAGCAAACUAACAAUUUCACAUAGGAUACCAGGUUGGGAGGAUACAAUCAUUAACAAUUUCAAAAGCUUUAAAUGCAAUCUGAAUACAUGGCAAGUAGGGGUAAACAUGUGAACAGAAAAAAUCAGUGAACAUAAUCAAAUCCAAUACGUCAAUUUUGGCCUAGAUUGAAAUGAAAAAAAAACAAGGAAAUGCUUUGUUGUUUUUGAAGGAAAUAAAACCUAUUUCAUGGAAAUAAAACCUGUGGUUACCUUUGUCUUCCUUUGCCAUUUGUCUAUCGAUUUGUUUCUGAAAGUGGCUAUUCUACAAGAUACAGCAUGACAGGUCCUAGUUAGACCAAGCAACCGGCAUGGAAAUGCUUUCUGAAGCAAGAAUCUGAACUCAAGAGCUUUGUGCCAGAGAGACUUCAGAAAAAUGAAAAAAAACAACAUAGAAUAUGGGUAAGAAUAAACAUCGAUCAAACAAUAAUUCACUGUAUAAAACAUUUUUUCAACUUUAAAGUGUGGCUUAAAAAGAAGCUUUAAACAAGUAGCAAUAAUUUCAUAUUGAAAAAUAAAACCUGGAUAUUACAAGAGCCAUUAUUUUGAAAGACACACCUUUUGGUUCUUCACUACUUGACUUUUAAGAAGAUCUUCGUCCUUGUCACGAUUCAGAUUCUUUAAAAUAUCUCUGCGAUGGAAUAAACAAAACCAAUCUAGGCCAAAAUUGACUUAUUCGAUUUGAUUAUGUUCACUGAUUUUUCUAUUCACAUGUUUACCCCUUACUUGCCAUAUGGUUUUGGGGUGUUAGUGCAUAGUGCUCUUCUCUUUACACACCUGUUUCAUUUGUAUUCGUUGUAAAUUAAGAGACCGUUUGAUAAUCAUUUCGUUUUCAAUUUAAAAAAUAUAAAAAACUAAAUAAAGUUUUCUAAAUUUGACCUAGAAUUUUUCGCUUUUGGUUUUUAAUUUUUUUUUUUAACAACUGAAAACUAAAAAUAGUUACAAAUUUUUUUUUCAGUUUUUAAUUUACAAAAAAGUAAAAACUGAAAACUCUAAACUAUAGACUAAAAAUUAAAAAGUGAAAUCGAAAUGGGCUCUCAACAAAAUUGAAAAAAGACUGGGCUGAAUUACUGAAUUCAAAGCAGGGCUUAUUAACGCUACGAGGCCCAAUGGAUCUGUAUAAAUAUUUUUUGUUUUUUUUUAACAAACGAUAUUAUCUAUAUGGGCUUAACCUUACAAUAGGCUAACAAUAAUGUGGUUCAAAUUUAUUUUUGACGAGAAUCGAACCUAAAACUUCUCGCUUACAAAUGAAGAGGAAUACCACUAAAUCAUAGUCCUGAUAUUUUAUUUAAUAUUUUAAGAAAAAAGAAAGAAAGCAAUGAAAAGCUGUACAUAAACUAAAUACAAAAAGGAAUGAAAUGAAGAAGAGUGGGAGACUAACGUUUAAUUCAAGAUAAAGAAAGAAAGGUAAUCGCACCCCGACGGCGGCGACGUGGCGGUCAUUUAACGGAAAAUAACAGACAAAUCAGCCUCCAGAUCAAGUCUUGAAGCACAACUCUGAAAAAUCGACACUACCUACAGCUGAGCUCCGACCAACCGUUGAUGGAUGCAAUCCGGAAGCUCAGAGAUCAAGUCGCCAAGCAACAGCAGGUACUCUCUCUCUUGUUUGAUUCCGAAUUUGUAUUUCUGUAUGGAUUAUGAUAUGAACAUAAUCUGCGUUGAUUGCGAGAUACUAAGAUUGCUUAAUGAAAUAAUAUUUAUAUAAUUGUUCAAAUUGAAUUGGAUCGAAUUCGAAUAGAUUUUUCACUAUUUCUGAGCUGUUUGGGGCUGUGUUGGAGUGUAUUGUUGCUGAAUUUCUGAAAUUUUGAAUCUAGCAAACACCAGUUCUUUUUGUUUGAACAUCGAUCCACAUCAAUGGCUCUUGUGAGAACAUCUCCAGGAACCUCCUCUGAUUCCAACACUUUUCGGAGUUAUCGCUACGACGUGUUCUUGAGCUUCAGAGGCGAAGAUACUCGCAAGACUUUUACCGACCACCUCUACACAGCCUUGAACAACGCAGGAUUUCUUACGUUCCGAGACGACGAUGAACUUGAGAGAGGGGAAGAUAUAAAGCCAGGACUGCAGAAAGCGAUCCAGCAGUCACGAACUUCUGUUGUCGUGUUUUCGAAAGAUUACGCUUCAUCCAAGUGGUGUCUUGAUGAGCUUGUGCUGAUCCUUGAACGCAAGAGGACCACCUCGGACCAUGUAGUUUUACCAGUCUUCUACGAUGUCGAUCCGUCCCACGUGAGGAAGCAGACAGGAAGUGUUGGAAAAGCAUUUGCUAGAAGCCAGAAAAAUCAGUCGCCGGAAAAGGUGGAGGGAUGGAGGAAGGCACUUGCAGAGAUUGCAGACCUAGCAGGCAUGGUCUUACAAAAUCAAGCUGAUGGGUAACCUUCAUUAUCUCCAUUUCUCUUCUCUUUGUUGGGUCAAUUUGAUGUAUGAUCCGUAGUGACAUAGAUUUUUAUAUAUUUAUUAAUUCAAUCUCAGUAGUGAAUAAUAAUCCCAAUUCAGGUCAACUUAAAGAAAGCACACUCAACUCAACUUAAGGAUUAGUCAUUUUCCAUGUUAAUCUACUGGUUUCCAGUUGCUUAAAUUUUUUUUGAAAGCUGGUGUGGAAAAAAGUUAGGAUGUGAUCUGUUUUGUAUUUGUCUAUAGUUUGUAUAGAUUAUGCGCUGUAUUCCUUUUUUUUUCAAUUUAAUUUUGUCAGGCAAUCAACAUAUGUUUUAAUUAUCUAAUUUCCCCAAUUCAUUUUUCAUUUUGUUUGCAAAUUCUUAGGUACGAGGCAAAGUUUAUCGAAAAAAUUGUUAAAGUGAUAGAAGACAAGUUAAGUCGUAUGCCAUUGAGUGUUGAACCAAAAUUGAUUGGUAUUCAAUAUCAAGCCGAACGCAUCAAUUUGUGGUUACAAGAUGGAUCAAGUGGUGUUGGUAUAUUUGUUGUGUAUGGCAUGUCUGGAAUCGGGAAGACAACCAUUGCAAAACAUGUUUACAAUUCAAACUUUAGAAGCUUUCAAGGAAGUAGUUUCAUUGAAAAUAUCAAAGAAACAGCAGAUCGACCAAAUGGCUUAGUUCAAAUACAAAUGCAACUUCUUUGUGAUAUUUUGAACGGCAGAGAAGUGAAAAUACACAGUGUUAGUGAGGGAAUAAUUAAGAUUGAAAGGGCCAUAAGCUCUAGAAGAGUUCUACUUGUUCUUGAUGAUGUUGACCAUAUGGACCAAUUAGAUGCAAUCCUAAGGAUGAAAGAUCAGUUUUAUCCGGGAAGUAAGAUACUAAUAACAACUAGGCGUGAAAGGUUGCUAAAGGCAGAUCAAGUUACAGAGGUGCACAGAGUUCGGACUUUGUAUUACAAUGAAUCAUUAAAGCUUUUCAGUUGGCAUGCUUUUGGCCAGGACCAUCCCAUAGAAGAAUACAUGGAGCACUCAAAACAGCUUGUGCAACAUAGCGACGGACUUCCAUUAGCUCUAAAAGUUUUGGGUUCUUCUUUAUCAGGGGAAAGUAUAGGUGUAUGGGAAAGUGCAUUGGAGAAGCUAAAAGUUAUUCCUGAUGGUGAAAUCAUGAAUAAACUAAGAAUAAGCUAUGAAAGUUUAAAAGAUGACCAUGAUCGGAAAUUAUUCCUCCACAUUGCUUGUUUCCUAAUAGGAAGGAACAAAAGCUACAUUGUUAGAAUACUCGAUGGAUGUGAUUUCUAUACAAUCAUUGGCAUUCAAACUCUCAUUGAUAGAUGCUUGGUGACACUUGAUGAACACGGCAAGGUGAAAAUGCAUGACAUGAUUCGUGCUAUGGGAAGAGAAAUUGUUCGCCAAGAAUCAGAAGAGCUUGAGGAACGGAGUAGAUUAUGGCGCCAUAAGGAUUCUUUCCAAGUAUUGAGGAAAAAGAAUGUAAGAAACAUGCCUUUUAUGUCUAUAUAUGUAUUCCUUCUUGUGAAAAUUAUGCAUAUUAAUGUCUUUUUUUUUCCUUUAGGGUACAAAAAAAAUCCAAGGUCUUGUCCUGGAUAUGCGUAAUCAUCCUGCAAACAGUCCAAUAAACACAAAUGAGAUAGUCUUGGAAACCAAUGCAUUUGCAAGGAUGUGUAAUUUACAACUACUCCAUCUUAGUCAUGUACGACUGGAUGGAUGUUAUGCAGAUUUCCCUACAGGAUUAAGAUGGGUGUGUUGGCUUGAAUAUCCUUUGGAUUCUAUACCAAUUGAUUUUCCUUUGGAGAACGUAAUUGUUCUUGAAAUGCAAUACAGUAGCUUGAGACAAGUAUGCAAAGGAACAAAAGUAUGUUACUCUAUGCAUUUCAAUUCAUUUUCCUUAUUGUGUUAGUUUCUUAUUUGUUGACUAACUCCAUGUGUUAAAAUGAACUACUAUGUUUUCUUUAAUUCGAUGACUAAUUUCUUAUGUUAGAUACUUAUUUCAUUGUUCUUUUUUCUUUUCUUUUUUUCCCUCUGUUUCCACAGUUUCUUCCAUCGUUGAAGAUCCUUGACGUCAGCCAUUCUCAUGGCCUUAGUGAAACCAUUGACUUCUCACUUUUCCCCAAUCUAGAGGAACUGAUUCUUGUAGAUUGCACAAGCCUGAAGAAUGUUCAUGAAUCCAUUGGAAACCUAGAGCGACUCGUGUACUUGAAUAUGAAGGAUUGCAAGAAUCUUAGGAAGCUUCCGAAGAACAUGUGCAUGCUUAAAUCACUUGAAACGCUCAUUUUAUCUGGUUGCUCAAAUCUUGAUGAGUUUCCCUUGGAGAUGAUGAAGAAGAUGGAGUCUCUGAAAGUUCUUGAGACAGAUGGAAUUCCAAUAAGUGAAUUGUGGCCAGAAAGAAGUUCAACUAUCUUGAGUUCUUUUCCACGCUCUUUAGUAGAGUUAAGUCUGAAGGGAUGCAAUCUUUCUGAUGAUGUCUUUCCUACGGAUUUAAGUAAUUUAUCCUACUUGCGAGGACUACAUUUAGAUGAGAAUCCAAUUUGCAGUCUGCCAGUUUUCAUCAAAGGUUUGAGGAGGAUCGAUAAACUCUCUUUCAAGGGUUGUGAUAGGCUUGAAUCGCUUGUGGGGUUGCCGGAAGUACACCAAAUAAUGAGUAUAGUCAGAUGCAUAUCAUUAAAAAAAUAACUUUUCAUUCCCCUGGGCAACAUCAUCUAUCACGUGUAAUUUACAAUGACAACCGGAAUCUUGUUGAGGCGGAGUGUUUUUACAAGUUAGAGCCUAUUGAUAGAGUUGAUGUGGAAAUGAUCAAACUUUUGGGCUUGUGCAACUUGGAAUCCAUGCCAGCUGUUCGAAUGCAUCAUCCACUCACAAACUGGGAUCUAAUAGACGUCCCCGUCCAGGUGCGCCUCUUUUUCUCUCUCUCUCAUAAGUCUUAAAUAUAUAAUGGGAAAGAAAUGACUGAGUAAUGUUGUGAUGACUGUGGCAAAUACAUAGGGACUGUAUCAACAUGGUAUAUUCAGCACCUUUUUUGUUAGGAAUGAGGUUCCAGGCCUGUUCAGCUAUAAAAGUACCAAGUCCUCGAUAUCUUUUAUUGUCCCUUUACUACUUGCUAGUCACAGAAUUCGAGGCUUAAACAUCUUUGCUACCUAUGCAAAGGAAAAUUCAAAUAAUUAUUCUACUGGACCUAUUAUUGCUCCAAUAAUGAUCAAAGUGAGAAACAAGAGUAAGGGUCUGAAGUUGAUCUAUGACCCUGAGUUCUACGGAAUUCCAGGUGACGGAGAAAAUAUGAUAUGGUUGAGCCAUUGGAUGAUGGAGAAUAAAACAAUAUUACAAUGUGGAGAUGAAGUGGUGGUUUCGGUAAUAACCGGACCACGUGACAUGUUUUGGGUAAAGGAGUUUGGUGUCGACCUUGUGCAAGAGCACCAAGACAAGAUGAGUACCCAACACAACACCAAAUCCGAUCCUAAUUAUCCAUUUGUUAUCGGUGGAGAUUUGAAGAUGUUUGAGCGCAGACCGGGAAUAUACUUCCUUGGCAAUUAUGCAAGAAAAGAUAUUGAUGACAUUGAUAUCCUCACCAUGGCCUCUGAUGAAGAAGACACAAGUAUGUUGUGUUGUUGUAUAGCAUUGAAUUAUACUCCAUCCAAACACUUCCAUGUGUGGUCCGUAUUCAUUUCAAAAAUGUUUCCAAUAAAUGUUAUGUUAUUUGUAUGUUUUUCAGACAAAGAAAGACAAGAGGAUGAACCUGAUUACACAAUUGCAAAGACGAGGGCUGCUAGCAAUAACUGCAGCUUGAGAGGCUGGAAGGUGCGCCUCACAGCUGUCGGCUUCUUUUUUUCGCUUGCUCUAGUAGGUUGGUCCUCCAUCUCCCAAAAAAAGAAGCGACACUCGUCCACAAGCCCACCAUGAGUUUGUAAUUUGACUUGAUAUAGAUAUAUCUUUGCAUUCCUCUCAGGAUGUUUUCUAUCUUCAAAACUUCAAGUUCGCUAAGCACGCUUAACCGCUUGAGAUAUAAAAGCCCCUUGCAACUAGAUACCAAAGUUAAAAUGUGUUCAAAACAUCAAAUAUAGCAUAAAAUACAUCCAGCAUUAGUUAUACUAGCAGAGUAGCAAUAAAUAAGUAAAACAAAAAAAUGCUUCCACACACGGUAAGGGAUGGACUUUGACAUAGGUAUCUUUAGAGCAAUUCCACCCCUAAGGACUUUGCGUCCGCACCUAGCGCAUUUAUCCACUCAAAUGAACAGUAACAGACUCUAAUGAACAGUAAUAGGCCAAGCAUCUCCACCCCUAAAAAAAUGCGCUGGCACCUAGUAAAAAAAUGCGUUGGCACAAACGAUCUUCAUCCCUACAAAAUGCGCUGGCACCCAGCCCAUUUAAAAUAUUUUUAAAUGUUGUCUAAAAGAAUAAAAAAAUAAAAUAGUUUUAAUUUCGGAUAGGAUUUUUAACUAAUCUCGUCACACCACAUGUCAUUAUCUGAACGUACUAUUUUGUGAAUAGAUUUCCGCUAAGAUUUUCUGUAUUUUUUAAUAAUUUUUAAUGAAUUUUAAUAUAGUUAAUUAAUCUGGACCGUUAGAUUUGAAAAAAUAUUCAAAUCCAAGAGACAGGGAGUUGCCACGUGGCCAACAGUCAUAUUUCUGACCGUUGGGCCUUUUUUUUUUUUUUUUACUUUUUUGUAAAAAAAACGUGGACCGUUGAUCUUUGAUCCGACAGUCUAUUUUAAAAGUAAAAUUUAAAUUUUUUUACCGUUGGAAAUCCAACGGUCUAGAAAAGGGAGCCACGUCGCCAACUCGAGGGGGGGGGGGAAACUGAGUGCGCCACGCGGGCCCGCCUUCUGAAAUCUUGUCGGGCACUCGCGCCAGCACCUCCAUGAAGCGCACGCGCAAGGCAAACUGCCCAGCUUCUUGCUCAGUCUCGUUUGGGCUGGGUACCAGUCAAGUUGAAGGGGUGGACUUGGUUGACAGGGUGCUGGCCUUGUUUUUGUGCUGGAUCCUGGGCAAAUUCCACUGGGGUGGAAUUGCUCUUAGCAAUAACGGGCAAGAUUUUUUUUAGGGAGGGGGAAGGGAUUAUUUUGGCAUCGGGGAAAACAAAAACAUCCUAUCUGCUUAUGAAUGACAAAUUUACAAAUCUUAAUUGUCGUUUACAACAAAAUCAUUCUUAAAGACUCGGCUCCCCAUUGAAAUUGUGUAAAUUGCAUAUAUAACAAUACAACAGAUAUUAGAUAGAAUAAUAUAUAUCAAAUAAUUUAACGAUAGGACUUUACAGUUGGUUCAGCCUUGCAUUGCUACUACGCUACAGAAGCUGGUUUCUGCUUCUUCCACCUGAACAAAUUAUUGAGGUCAGGAAGUAUAGGAGGAACGGCCAUAGUCUCUGGAGCCAAGAAAUUUACUAUCUUCUCAUGAACAUUGUACCUGCAAAAGCAUAAUGCAAUAAGCAUUCAACAAUCUGACCUAGUUUGCUCAACAGAUGCUCUAAGAUAUUCCAAAACAAAGUCACAACAAUUUCACAUAGGGAACCGAAGAAUCAUGUUCAUCCACUCAACACAUCCAAAGCAGCAAACUAACUAGGAUACCAGGUUGGGAGGAUACAAUCAUUAACAAUUUCAAAAGCUUUAAACGCAAUCUGAAUAUAUGGCAAGUAGGGGUAAACAUGUGAACAGAAAAGUCAAAGAACAUAAUCAAAUCGAAUAAGUCAAUUUUGGCCUAGAUUGAAAUGAAAAAAAAAACAAGGAAAUGCUUUGUGUAUCGAUUUGUUUAUGAAGGAAAUAAAUGCUUUGUGUAUCCAUUCGUCUAUCAAUUUGUUUCUGAAAGUGGCUAUUCUACAAGAUACAGCAUGACAGGUCUUAGUUGGACCAAGUAACCGGCAUGGAAAUGCUUUCUGAAGCAAGAAUCUGAACUCAAGAGUUUUGUGCCAGAGAGACUUCAGAAAAAUGAAAAAAACAACAUAGAAUAUGGGUAAGAAUAAACAUCGAUUAGACAAUAAUUCACUGUAUAAAUAAUUUUUUCAACUUUAAAGUGUGGCUUAAAAAGAAGCUUUAAACAAGUAGCAAUAAUUUCAUAUUGAAAAAUAAAACCUAUUUCAUGGAUAUUACAAGAGCCAUUAUUUUGAAAAACACACCUUUUGGUUCUUCACUGCUUGACUUUUAAGAAGUUCUUUGUUCUUGUGACAAUUCAGAUUCUUUAAAAUAUCUCUGCAACGGAAUAAACAAAACCAAUCUAGGCAAAAAUUGACUUGUUCGAUUUGAUUAUGUUCACUGAUUUUUCUGUUCACAUGUUUACCCCUACUUGCCAUAUAGUUUUAGUUUUGGGGUGUUAGCGCAUAGUGCUCUUCUCUUUACACACCAGUUUCAAUUUUAUUCUUCGUAAAUUAAGAGACCGUUUGAUAAUCAUUUCGUUUUCAAUUUUAAAAAAUAUAAAAAACUAAAUAAAGUUUUCAAAAUUUGACCUAGAAUUUUCGCUUUUGGUUUUCAAUUUUAAUUUUUUUUUAAACAACUGAAAACUAAAAAUAGUUACAAAAAGAAUUUUUCAGUUUUUAAUUUACAAAAAAGUAAAAACUGAAAACUCUAUACUAUAGACUAAAAAUUAAAAAGUGAAAUCGAAAUGGGCUCUCAACAAAAUUGAAAAAAGACUGGGCUGAAUUACUGAAUUCAAAGCAGGGCUUAUUAACGUUACGAGGCCCAAUGGAUAUGUAUAAAUAUUUUUCGUUUUUUGUUUAACAAACGAUAUUAUUUAUAUGGGCUUAAUGUUACAGUGAGCUAACAAUAAUGUGGUUCAAAUUUGCUUUUCGUAAGAAUCGAAUCUAAAACUUCUCACUUAGAGAAAUACCUCUAAACCGUAAUCUGAGUGGCUCGUUAUUUUAUUUUAUAUUUUAAGAAAAAAGAAAGAAAGCAAUGAAAAGCUGUACAUAAAAUAAAUACAAAAAGCUAAGAAAUGAAGAAGAGUGGGAGACUAACGUUUAAUUCAAGAUAAAGAAAGAAAGGUAAUCGCAAGACGACGGCGGCGACGUGGCGGUCAUUAAACGGAAAAUAACAGACAAAUCAGCCUCCAGAUCAAGUCUUGAAGCACAACUCUGAAAAAUCGAGACUACCUACAGCUGAGCUCCGACCAACCGUUGAUGGAUGCAAUCCGGAAGCUCAGAGAUCAGGUCGCCAAGCAACAGCAGGUACUCCCUCUCGUUUGAUUCCGAAUUUGUAUUUCUGUAUGGAUUUUGAUAUGAACAUAAUCUGCGUUGAUUGCGAGAUACUGAGAUUGCUUAAUGAAAUAAUAUUUAUAUAAUUGUUCGAGUUGAAUUGGAUCGAUUCGAAUUCAAAUAGAAUUUCACUAUUUCUGAGCUGUUUGGGGAUGUGUUGGAGUGCAAUGUUGAUGAAUUUCUGAAAUUUUGAGCUAGGUGUUGCUAAUUACUUAUCAAUUUUUGAUGUAAUUGGAUGCUUAAUUUUUACAUUUUCGGAAAACUUCAAGCGAAAAUGGCAUAUAAUUCAACGUUCCAUGCUUCAUUAAUGCAUAUGAGUUAGUCGAAGCUUCAUCGAGUUUGCUUUUGAUUAUUUUGUGAACACCGUCAGGCCGUGUUCAAACAAUUUUCUGGUGGCAUAUAUGGGGGAUCGGAUAAUGUUGCCUCGGAUGAAAAUGAAUUUCAACAGCAUCAGAAACUCGAGAAGCUGUACAUAUCAACUCGUGCUGCCAAGGUUGCUACGCUUAUUUUUGUCUGUGCUUUAAACGAGCAUCACGUUAGUUGUGUUACCUAUCGUUUUUUGCUUCUUCUUUAACAGCAUUACCAAAAGGAAAUUGUCCGCGGAGUGGAAGGUUACAUUGUGGCCGGUUCAAAGCACGUUGAAAUAGGUAUGUUGCUUGAAAUGCGUUGUCUUUUCUUGGGAGUUUGGAUAUGAAUUCGUGUUGGUUUUAUCAGCUGGUAUACAUAAUACUUUUUCAACAGGUACGAAGCUAUCAGAAGAUAGCAGGAAAUAUGGUUCUGAAAAGACUUGCACCAGUGGUAACACAUUGUCGAGAGCUGCACUGAGUUUUGGAAGAGCUCGGGCCCAAAUGGAAAAAGAGUGCGGAGUUCUACUUAAAGCCCUUGGCACACAGGUUUAAGUCAAAUUAUUACUAACAAUGGCUCAUUAAGUAAAAAUCAAAUAUUGCCAGGGCCAGUUUCAUACAAAUGGAAUUUCAACUGACUAAUUUUCGUGUGCAUUUGAUCAUUUCGAAAGAAAUUUACAGCAAAAAUUGUUUUCAUUUCCACGUCGUGGUUCAAGAAUUGGACUACUUUUUGUGUUUCUAUGCAUCGUAUGACAAACUGGCUCACCAUUUCUUUCUAUAGGUUUGCAUAAUAACUCUUUGUGUGCUUAUCAAUUUGCCUGUGUAGGUUGCAUAGCCUUUAUAGUGGGAGCGCCCAUGGAGGAUGCUCGACAUCUUGCUCAACGUUAUGCUAGAAUGCGGCAAGAAGCUGAAGCUCAGGUAUAUGCAGUUUCUUCUGUUUCCUACCAAUUUUAUUCUACAGUGAUUUUAUAUCCAAAACAAGCAUUGACUUGGCUGUCCAUCCAUCAAUAGCAGGUCCACAUCUCAACCCAAAUAUAAUGACGUCAAAGGAGAGGGGAAAAUGAGAAGGAAACUCUGGAGGGUAGAGGGAAGGAAAAGGAGAAAAGGAGAAAGGGAGAAGGGAAAAGUAGAACGGGAAGGAGGAAAAUGAGAGGAAAUUUCGGAGAAUAGAGAAAAGGAGAAGGGAAAAGAAGAAAAGCAGAAAAGAAGGGAAAAGGGGAAGGAAGCUUAGGAGGCUAGAGAAAAAGAGGGAAAUGCAUAAAAAUAAAAAAAUAAAAAAGGAAAGUCGCCUUCAUCAUUAUGUCUACUAACGGAAAGGAGCAACCACAUUGUAAAUUAUACUAAAAAUAUGACUUUAACCCCUCAAACUCAAUUUCUUUCAUAUAAAACCCGACAUAACAUUUUUACUCGAAUAAAACCCAAUGACUAGACUUCACAUAAGCAAAUUCAUUAAUUAUGACAUUUUAAAAAUUUCUAAUGCCUAAAAUACCCCUGUUUGCAUGUUUAAUGUGCACAAUUAAACAUAUGCAGAUUUUAAGGAGGAUUAAUGAUUUUACAAAAAUAAAAUAAUAAAAAAGGCACAAAUAUUCUAAAUGCAUUGCAUGUUAUAUGAAUUUGGUUGAUUCAUGUUUCUCUCACUUCAUAAAAUUUGCUUCUAAUUUGAUAUAGGAAUUAAUUUGGAAAGUUUUCUUAAUCUUAAUAACAAUUUUCAAUUUAAAUAUAUUUUUUAAUGAAAUAGUCUAUCUUUUAAAAUAAUUAUCAAUAAAAUAAUGAAAUAGUCUAUCUUUUCAAUUUAAAUAAUGUACCUGUUAUUUAAUUUUUACAACACUAAUGUAUCUUAAAAAAUAAUUUACUUAUUGUUUAGUUUUAGCAAAAAUAAUUUACCUACUGUGUAUAAUUGGUGAAGCUAAUGAUGUACAUAUUGUUUAAUUUUUUAAAAAUUAAUGUAUGUACAAAAAUAAUUUAUCUAUUGUUCAAAUUUUAGGAUAAAAAUUUACAUGUUUUUAUUUAACAAUAAUGUAUCUACAAUUUAUUUUUGUAUGAAUAUAAUUUACCUACUUUUUAAUUUUAUAUGAAACUAAUUUACCUACUGUGUCAGUAAUGUAUCUACAAUUUUACAUACAAUAUUUACCUUCUUUUUUUUUUUCACAACAAUAGUGUAUCUACAAUUUUGUUUUUGUAUGAAUAUAGUUUACCUACAAUUUAACUUUUCAAAAAAUGUAUCUUCUAUUUUAUAGUUUACUAUCAUAUAUAUGUUUAUGUGUUCGCAAAAUAAUUUAUCUAAAGUUAUAUAGUUAAGAGAUAUGCUAAUGAAUUAUAUUAAUUCAUUAUUAGACUGAUAUAAGAAAUUGUUAAAAACGUUAGCCAUAAUGGUUGGCUAAUAAUGGUUGUAUGAGAACAGUUAUAGAAAGUUGUGGCAUAAAUUGUAAAUAACUUAUAUUAAUAGGUUACUUAUUUUCUUAUUUGGUAAUUUAUUUAAAUUUUGGGUUUUGAUUGAAUGUUUAUUCAUAGGUGGGUUUUUAUCUGAAGUAUAUGAGUUGUAUGGGUCUAUAUCUAAACAACCCUAAAUUAUAUUUUGUAUAAUGAGAAACCAGUAUUCCUACCCCGAGGGUAUAGACACAACUUACUAAAUCUCGUUACUAUACAGCAAGCUUAUAAUUGCGCAAUAAUUCGAUCAACCAUCUUAAGUUCAACCAUUCAUGUAACAAGAUUCAAGUUUUCUAAACUUUCCUUAUUAAGGUAACUGAACAUUACAAGUGCCACGUUAUUAUGCGGUUCUAUCAAGUUUUAAUUUUUGUCUCAUAACCACAUCAUCUUUAGGACAAUCAUCUUGUAGUUGAAUAUAUAAACCUUCGAUAUGGCGAUAUUGGAAACGCUUGUUGGUGGGUUGAUUGGUAGAAAUGGUUCCAACAAUUCAAGGAUGAGAAAUGAGCAUUGAGCAACGAACAAAAUAUAUUGUAUUUUAUCACAAAAGAUGUUUGUGCAAUUAAAAGUGCAUUUUAUCACAAAGAGGUGAGCAACGAUCAAUAUAAUUGUUAUUUAUAAAAGGGAACAUUAACAAAAGUUUCCGGUACUGUUUAUUUUAAUAAAAAAUUACAUUUUUACAUUAAAAGUCAAUACUGAUACUAUUUAUUUUACCCUUUAUUUUAUCUUUAUUAUUAAAACUCAAAAUUUUUAAAUUUCUUUUAUUAAUUUUUUUUUUAUAAAAUCACACGUAAAACAAGAAGUAAUCUUUUCUUUUUCUUUUCGUCUCUGCCACAAGCGGCCGACCAUGACUUAAACAAACGCUUUUUGGGUGGGUCAAGGUAUGGGAACGACCCAUUUUAUAUGUUACAUGGUUGUGCAAUUAAAAGUGCAUUGUAUCAUAAAAAGGUGAGCAACGAUCACUAUAAUUGUUAUUUAUAAAAUCACACAAAACACAAGAAGGAAUCUUUUCUUUUUCUUUUUCAUCUCUGCCACUACCAGCCAUGACUUAAAAGAAACGUUUUUUGGUUCAAUGGAUGGGAACGGCCCAUUUUAUAAUAAGGAAAAUUAAUAAAAAAAAAUUUUAAAUUUAAAUUUUAACGAAAAUAAUAAAAAGAUGUUGUAAGUGAAUAAUACAUGAUUGAUUUUUUUGAAUAAAAAAAUAUAUAUUGUUUUAAAUAAACAGUAUUAGGAGUGUUUGGUUCAAAUCCCUUUAUAAUAUUGUUCGUAAAUUUUUCUGGAAGUAGAUGGAAAUGACCCAAUUACAUAUUUCCCCUGCUCACAGACAUUUUCAUUGCACCUAGAAAACCAGUUUUUUGUUAGAAAAUCGAUCCACAUCAAUGGCUCUUGUGAGAACAUCUCCAGGAACCUCCUCUGAUUCCAACACUUUUCGGAGUUAUCGCUACAACGUGUUCUUGAGCUUCAGAGGCGAAGAUACUCGCAAGACUUUUACCGACCACCUCUACACAGCCUUGAACAACGCAGGAUUUCUUACGUUCCGAGACGACGAUGAACUUGAGAGAGGAGAAGAUAUAAAGCCAGGACUGCAGAAAGCGAUCCAGCAGUCACGAACUUCUGUUGUCGUGUUUUCGAAAGAUUACGCUUCAUCCAGGUGGUGUCUUGAUGAGCUUGUGCUGAUCCUUGAACGCAAGAGGACCACCUCGGACCAUGUAGUUUUACCAGUCUUCUACGAUGUCGAUCCGUCCCACGUGAGGAAGCAGACAGGAAGUGUUGGAAAAGCAUUUGCUAGAAGCCAGAAAAAUCAGUCGUCGGAAAAGGUGGAGGGAUGGAGGAAGGCACUUGCAGAGAUUGCAGACCUAGCAGGCAUGGUCUUACAAAAUCAAGCUGAUGGGUAACUUUCAUUAUCUCCAUUUCUCUUCUCUUUCUUGGGUCAAUUUGAUGUAUGAUCCGUGGUGACCUAGAUUUUUAUAUGUUUAUUAAUUCAAUCUCAGUAGUGAAUAAUAAUCUCAAUUUAGGUCAACUUAAAGAAAUCACACUCAACUCAACUUAAGGAUUAGUCAUUUUCCAUGUUAAUCUACUGGUUUCCAGUUGCUUAAAUUUUUUUGAAAGCUGGUGUGGAAAAAAGUUAGGAUGUGAUCUGUCAUGUAUUUGUCUAUAGUUUGUAUAAAUUAUGCGCUGUAUUCCUUUCUUUUUUUUUCAAUUUAAUUUUGUCAGCAGUCCCUUUUUUUUUUUUUUUUUCUUAUUUAAAUAAAGGCAAUCAACAUAUGUUUGAAGGGAACUUUAACGAAAAGCUCCCAGUACUGUUCACUUUAACGAAAAACCACAUUUUUUCACUAAAAAGUAAAUCCUGAUACUAUUUACUUUAUCCUUUAUUUUGUAAUUAUAUAUUUUCCCAAUUCAUUUUUCGUUUUGUUUGCAAAUUCUUAGGUACGAGUCAAAGUUUAUCAAAAAAAUUGUUAAAGUGAUAGGAGACAAGUUAAGUCGCACGCCAUUGAGUGUUGAACCAAAAUUGAUUGGAAUUCAAUCUCAAGCCGAACGCAUCAAUUUGUGGUUCCAAGAUGGAUCAAGUGAUGUUGGUAUAUUUGUUGUGUAUGGCAUGUCUGGAAUAGGGAAGAAAACCAUUGCAAAACAUGUUUACAAUUCAAACUUUGGAAGCUUUCAAGGAAGUAGUUUCAUUGAAAAUAUCAAAAAAACAGCAGAUCGACCAAAUGGCUUAGUUCAAAUACAAAUGCAACUUCUUUGUGAUAUUUUGAACGGCAGAGAAGUGAAAAUACACAGUGUUAGUGAGGGAAUAAUUAAGAUUGAAAGGGCCAUAAGCUCUAAAAGAGUUCUACUUGUUCUUGAUGAUGUUGACCAUAUGGACCAAUUAGAUGCAAUCCUAAGGAUGAAAGAUCAGUUUUAUCCUGGAAGUAAGAUACUAAUAACAACUAGGUGUGAAAGGUUGUUAAAGGCUGAUCAAGUUACAGAGGUGCACAGAGUUCAAACUUUGGAUGACAAUGAAUCAUUAAAGCUUUUCAGUUGGCAUGCUUUUGGCCAGGACCAUCCCAUAGAAGAAUACAUGGAGCACUCAAAACAGCUAGUGCAACAUAGCGGCGGACUUUCAUUAGCUCUAAAAGUUUUGGGUUCUUCUUUAUCAGGAGGAAGUAUAGGUGUAUGGGAAAGUGCAUUGGAGAAGCUAAAAGUUAUUCCUGAUGGUGAAAUCAUGACUAAACUAAGAAUAAGCUAUGAAAGUUUAAGUAAUCUAUCAUACUUGCGAAGACUACAUUUAGAUGAGAAUCCAAUUUGCAGUCUGCCAGUUUUCAUCAAAGGUUUGAGGAGGAUCGAUGAACUCUCUUUCUGGGGUUGUGAGAGGCUCGAAUCGCUUGUGGGGUUGCCGGAAGUGCACCAAAAGAUAAAUAUAGUCAGAUGCAUAUCAUUAAAAAAAAUAACUUAUCAUUCCCCUCCGCGACCGGUUACAAUACAUUUGCGUGACAACUGGAAUCUUGUUGAGUGGGAGCACUAUUACAAGUUAGAGCCUAUUGAUAGAGUUGAUGUGGAAAUGAUCAAACUUUUGGGCUUGUGCAACUUGGAAUCCAUGCCAGCUGUUCGAAUGCGUUAUCCUUCCUACACAAACGGGGUUCCAAAAGAGGUCCCCGUCCAGGUGCGCCUCUUUUUCUCUCUCUCUCGUAAGUCUUAAAUAUAUAAUGGGAAAGAAAUGACUGAGUAAUGUUGUGAUGACUGUGGCAAAUACAUAGGGACUGUAUCAACAUGGUAUAUUCAGCACAUUUUUUGUUGGGAAUGAGGUUCUAGACCUGUUCAGCUAUAAAAGUACCAAGUCUUCGAUAUCUUUUAUUGUCCCUAUACUACUUGCUAGUCACAGAAUUCGAGGCUUGAACAUCUUUGCUACCUAUGCAAAGGAAAAUUCAAAUAAUUAUUCUAGUGGACCUAAUAUUGGUCCAAUAAUGAUCAAAGUGAGAAACAAGAGUAAGGGUUUGAAGUGGAUCUAUUCCCCAGAGUUCUAUGGAAUUCCAGGGGACGGAGAGGAAAUGAUAUGGUUGAGCCAUUGGAAGAUGGAGAAUAAAACAAUAUUACAAUGUGGAGAUGAAGUGGUGGUUUCGGUAAUAACCGGACCACGUGACUUGUUUUCGGUAAAGGAGUUUGGUGUCGAGCUUGUGCAAGAGCACCAAGACAAGAUGGGUACCCAACACAACACCAAAUCCGAUCCUAAUUAUCCAUUUGUUAUCGGUGGAGAUUUGAAGACGUUUGACUGCAAACCGGGAAUAUACUUCCUUGGCAAUUAUGAAAGAAAAGAUAUUGAUGACAUUGAUAUCCUCACCAUGGACUCUGAUGAAGAAGACACAAGUAUGUUGUGUUGUUGUAUUGCAUUGAAUUAUACUCCAUCCAAACACUUACAGGUGCGUCCGUAUUCAUUUCAAAAAUGUUACCAAUAAAUUUUAUGUUAUUUGUAUGUUUUUCAGACAAAGAAGGACAAGAGGAUGAACCUGAUUACACAUGUGCAAAGACGAGGGCUGCUAGCAAUAACUACUGCCUGAGAGGCUGGAAGGUGCUCCUCACAUUUGUCGGCUUCUUUUUUGCGCUUGCUCUAGUAGGUUGGUCCUCCAUCUCCCAAAAAAGGAAUCGACACUAGUCCACAAGCCCACCAUGAGUUUGUAAUUUGACUUGAUAUAGAUAUAUCUUUUCAUUCCUUGCUCUCAAGAUGUUUUCUACCUUCAAAACUUCAGCUUCAAAGCUAAGCACUCUUAACUGCUUGAGAUAUUAAAGCCCCUUGCAACUAGAUACCGAAGUUCAAAUGUGUUCAACGCCAUCAAAUAUAGCAUAAAAUACAUCCAGCAUUAGCUAUACUAGCAGAGUAGCGGUAAAUAAGUAAAACAAGAUUUAUUUUGGAGGGGGGGGGGGGGGGGGCGGGGAUUAUUUCGGCACCGGGGAAAGCAAAAACAUCCAAUCUGCUUAUAAAUGACAAAGUUACAAAUCUUAAUUGUCGUUUACAACAAAAUCAUUCUUAAAGACUCGGCUCCCCAUUGAAAUUGUGUAAAUUGCAUAAAUAUCAAUACAACAGAUAUUAGAUAGAAUAAUAUAUAUCAAAUAAAUUAACGACAGGCAAUUUCAAAAGCUUUAAAUGCAAUCUGAAUACAUGGCAAGUAGGGGUAAACAUGUGAACAGAAAAAUCAUUAACAAUUUCAAAAGCUUUAAAAACCGAAAACUCUAAACUAUAGACUAAAUAUUAAAAAGUGAAAUUGAAAUGGGCUCUCAACAAAAUUGAAAAAAGACCGGGAUGAAUUGGUGAAUUCAAAGCAGGCCUUGUUAAUGCUACGAGGCCCAAUGGGAUCCGCAUAAAUAUUUUUCGUUAUUAUUAUUUUAUUUUUAACAAACGAUAUUAUUUACGUGAGUUUAGUGUCAUAAUGGAUUAUCAAUAAUAUGGUUCAAAUUCGUUUUUGGCAAAAAUUGAACCUAUUCUACUUACAAAUGAAGAAGAAUACCAUUAGACUUUAGUACUAAGUGGUUUGUUAUUUUAUUUAUAUUUUAUGGAAAAUGAAAGAAAGCAAUGAACAGCUGUACGUAAACUAAAUACAUCAAGGAAUGAAAUGAAGAGGAGUGGGAGACUAACGUUAGAAAGGUAAACGCACCACGACGGCGGCGACAUGGCGGUCAUUUAACGGAAAAUAACAGACAAAUCAGCCUCCAGAUCAAGUGUUGAAGCAAAACUCUGAAAGAUCGAGACUACCUACAGCUGAGCUCCAACCGACCAACCGUUGAUGGAGGCAAUCAGGAAGCUCAGAGAUCAGGUCGCCAAGCAACAGCAGGUACUCUCUCUUGUUUGAUUCCGAAUUUGUAUUUAUGGAUUUUGAUAUGAACAUAAUCUGCGUUGAUUGCGAGAUACUGAGAUUGCUUAAUGAAAUAAUAUUUAUAUAAUUGUUCGAAUUGAAUUGGAUCGAUUCGAGUAGAAUUUCACUAUUUCUGAGCUGUUUGGGGCUGUGUUGGAGUGCAAUGUUGCUGAAUUUCUGAAAUUUUGUGCUAGGCGUUGCUAAUUGCUUAUCGAUUUUCGGAUUUAAUUGGAUGCUUAAUUUUUACAUUUUCGAAAAACUUCAAGCGAAAAUGGCAUAUAAUUCAACGUUCUAUGCUUUGUUAAUGCAUAAGAGUUAGUCGAAGUUUUAUCGAGUUUGCUUUUGAUUAUUUUGUGAACACCGUCAGGCUGUGUUCAAACAAUUUUCUGGUGGCAUAUACGGGGGAUCGGAUAAUGUUGCCUCGGAUGAAAAUGAAUUUCAACAGCAUCAGAAACUCGAGAAGCUGUACAUAUCAACUCGUGCUGCCAAGGUUGCUACGCUUAUUUUUGUCUGUGCUUUAAACGAGCAUCACGUUAGUUGUGUUACCUAUCGUUUUUUGCUUCUUUUUUAACAGCAUUACCAAAAGGAAAUUGUCCGCGGAGUGGAAGGUUACAUUGUGGCCAGUUCAAAGCACGGUGAAAUAGGUAUGUUGCUUGAAAUGCAUUGUCUUUUCUUGGGAGUUUGGAUAAAUUCAUGUUGGUUUUAUCAGUUGGUAUACAUAAUACUUUUUCAACAGGUACCAAGCUAUCAGAAGAUCGCAGGAAAUAUGGUUCUGAAAAGACUUGCAGCAGUGGUAACACAUUGUCGAGAGCUGCACUGAGUUUUGGAAGAGCUCGCGCCCAACUGGAAAAAGAGUGCGGAGUUCUUCUUAAAGCCCUUGGCACACAGAUUCAAGUCAAAUUAUUACUAACAAUGGCUCAUUAAGUAAAAAUCAAAUAUUGCCAGUGCCGGUUUCAUACAAAUGGAAUUUCAACUGACUAAUUUUCAUGUGCAUUUGAUAAUUUCGAAAGAAAUUUACAGUAAAAAUUGUUUCCAUUUUCACGUGUGGUUCAAGAACUGGACUACUUUUUGUGUUAUUAUGCAUCAUAUAACAAACCGGUUCACCAUUUCUAUCUAUAGGUUUGCAUAAUAACUCUUUCUGUGCUUAUCAAUUUGCCUCUGUAGGUUGCAGAGCCUUUAAAAGCAAUGAUAGUGAGAGCGCCCUUGGAGGAUGCUCGACAUCUAGCUCAACGAUAUGCUAGAAUGCGGCGAGAAGCUGAAGCUCAGGUAUAUGCAGUUUCUUCUGUUUCCUACCAAUUUUAUACUACAGUGAUUUUAUAUGUUACAUGGUGAUCGUACAUUUUCUCGGUUAACUUUUUUUGUUUUCUUUUAUAAGUGUUUGUUCAUUUUGAGACAAUCAUGCAUUGGUAUUCAUAGAGAACGCAAAAUCUUAAGAUAUUUAAUGUAAACUUGUUGAGAUUGCUUCAUUACUUGAAGCUUUGUUGUAAUUUGGUUUUUGGUUUUUUUAUUACUCCUUCAGAUUUGUCUAUAUAUACUAACUUGCACCGGGAUAGGCUAUAGAUGCUUCCAGACACUAGACCAAAGCACCGGAUUCUGCAGGUAAUGCUGAUAUUAUCAUGAAACUAGAAGCUGCUGAAGCCGAGCUUCAGGAGCUGCAGUCUAGCGUUGCAAUAUUGGGAAAAGAAGCUAGUGCAGCUAUGGCUGCUGUUGAAGGUCAACAACAAAGAUUGACUCUUCAGCGGCUUCUUGCGAUGGUAACGGAUUGCCUUCCCCUUUUUAUUUAAGUAUUAAGACCUUGGCCUGUUCUAGUUACAAGAAUAAAAAGGUCGUACCCAGUGCACAAGGCUCCCGCUUUACGCAGGGUCUGGGAGAGAUGAAUGUCGGCUAGCCUUACCCCCAUUUAUGAAGAGGCUACUCCCAAGGUUCUAGUUACAAGAAUGAAAAGGAAAUUAAUUUUGUAAAUUUAUCAUUUUUCGUCCCCAUUCCAGGUUGAAGCAGAGCGCAACUACCAUCCAAACAUUCUUCAGAUACUUGAUCAGCUUGAAGGCGAGGUGUGAAAUAUCCUAAAGUCUUCCUUUCAGCGUGACAAUUUCUUUUCCCAAUUCAUUUGGCUGUAUAUUAUUCUAGUGUCUUGCUACUAAAAGAAGAGAUCAUUGACACUAUUUGUUGGGACAGAUUUUGUCAGAAAAGCAGCGAAUUGAAGCAUCGCAUAGUCCGCCUACAGAGGACGCUAUGCCUCCACCACCAUCGUAUAAGGAUCUCAGCCGUAGCUUUGCUUCUGAAACCUAUGAUGAAUUGACAGAGUUGAGGGACUCUUUCUUAGGAGAGGUAUCUUUAUGCUAAUGUUGUUGUAUCCAAGUUUUAGUCUGUUCGACUCUUUAGUUUCUAGUAACUGUUUCUUUUCGCCUACCGCAGGUAAUGUACACCUUCCACACUGUAACUGAUGUGGAGUUAAGUUUGUCAUUCGGGGAUUACGUUGUCGUCCGGAAGGUUCUGUCAUCUUUCCUGCUUGCAUGCUUUCAUCUUAUAUUCAUGUUCGGAUUUAUUUCUUUCGUAUUGAGGUUAAAUUUUCAUGUUCAGAGACGUUCACUCAGGUAUGUUCGUCAAUGCAUAUGCAUUAGCACACCACCGAGUGUAUUAGAAUAUGGAUUUCAGUUUUGGGUGCUGCAUGCAUUAAUGUAGUUUGUGUGGUUUUGGUUAUUGCUGCCGCUGAGCGUGAGUGGCUUUCUGUAGUUGCUGAGAGUUAUAUUGUGAGCAUAAUUCAUACAGCAGCUUUCAUAUACGGCACAUGUAGUCGGCACUGCAUUUAGAAAGAGAAAGUUAUAUUUUCUUCACUGUCUAUUCAAAACUGUUGAUUGAUAAUAAUUGACUCAAGUGAAUGCCACAUCAUCUGCCACAUCAUCUGCCAUGUCAUUCAUAUUUCUGUUUUGAAACCUGUUGUUCCCUUGAUAGCCUUGAAUAUCACCAAUUCGGGAUCCUGCAUUUGAACUCUCUCCUUGUGAAUACCCGGAAUUCUGAUGACCACCUGUGACCUUAUCUCCUUGAACAUACAUUGCAGCCAUGCCACUUGCCAGCGUAGAGACCCUUGCUUCCAUAGCAGAUUCAACACCAAUCAACUGCGCUCUGAAAUCUUUCAGCGGAAUAGAAGUCUCCCUUGCUAAAACUACAGCCUUGACAAUAUCAAACUCCGGUGGUAAUCCAGAUAAAGCAGUAAUAACAAAAUCAUUAUCAGUAAUCCUCUCCCCUGCAGACACAAGCUGAUCCCGAAUGGCUUUCAACCGAAGCAAAUACUUGUCAAUAGAAUCACUGCCUUUUUGAAUUGUAUGAAACUCAAUUUUGAGUUGAUUAAUCCUAGCCCUGGACACAGACGCAUAGCGGUCUUGUAAAUUUAUCCAAGCUUCAUGAGACGUUUUACACCCUAUUACAUAUUCCAUAGCAUCAUCCGACAAAGUAGCAAUUAACAGACUCAAUAGGGCCAUAUCUUUCUGAACCCAAGAUUUAUAAGCUGCUGUGAUUUCUGUAGUCACUCCAUUCUCAGUGUUAACCACAAACUUUGGUGGACAAGGAGACUCACCAGUAAAGAAUUCAAAGAAAUCAUACCCUCGUAAAACCGACUGAAACUGAUAAUUCAACUUAACAAAAUUGUCAUCUUGCAACUUCACAGUCAACAUACCAAGCAAACUUUCAAUGCGUACUGAUUUAUCAGACAUCUUUAUCACAAAGUACUGACAAGAAAUCAAUCUCAAUCACAAAUAUGUUUAACUCCAAACUUCAACAAUGAUCACCUCUUCAAUAUAUUCUCACUACUUCUUGGCAUCGGCCUUCUAUAUGUAUAUACUUCAAAAGCUGAAAUUCCAGCAAUUUCGCAAAUGAACAACUGUAAUCAUAUCACACCACAACUAUAAUUCGUCUAUCUUCAACAAAUCUUGGCAUCAGCCUUAAUCAAAUCCAACACAUAACCCAUAUAUGAAAAACCAAAGAAAACAUUCCAAUUCACCAUAUAUCUUCACUGAAGCAAAAACGCAAACACUUGAUGUGCAAAGAAUAAGGAAAGAAACCAACAACUUGAUUGAAUGACCCUCAACCCAAAAUUCAUCAGCAAGCGUUCAAGCACUUCACCAAUCCUCCAAGAACUCCACCACAGCCUUCAACGAUCGAUCCCAAAGAAUUUCUCAGCGGAAGAAAAUACCCAAAAAAAAAAUCAACCUUGGCUCGAUACCAUCUUAACCAAGAAGAUCAGACUUGCAGAAAGAAAAAGAAAGAAACAAUACAGAGAAUAUAGAAGAAAACUUAGAAAGAAUAUGAAAGGUUUUGUAUUGAUAGAAUGAUAUUUUCUUACAAACAAUAAGCUGCAAUCAGCUUUUUAUAUCCCUAUAGUAGCCUAACUACCUUGCUUACUGUGUAAGCUACACAGCACCAUCCUAACUAACUUUCAACAGAAAUAUGAAUGACAUGGCAGAUGAUGUGGCAGAUGAUGUGGCCUUCACUUGAGUCAAUUAUUAUCAGUCAACAAAAACUUAUAUGUUGCAUGUUCUGGCUUUUAAAGUGAGUCGGCAUCAGAGUUUUUAUUUGAGAAAAAUCAGUUUUGUGUCCAUGUGUUUUCAAAGAAAAUAUUUUUGUUUUUAAUCACUGAUUUUUCAUUGUGCUUCAAUUAGAAAUCAAUUAUGAGAAUCUGCCUUGUGAUUUUCGUAAUUGGUUGAUUUCAAAAAAUCAUUACAUUUCAUACAUUCUGCAUGAUCGCGUUAGUAUCUUGCAAAGUUCGAGGACACAAUGAUUGACGGUCGCGUUAGUGUCGUGCCACUUUCACUUGAAGGCUGAAGAGAUCAAGUAGCAAAGCGCAAUGAAAAAAAUUGCCUACUAGUAUGUGGGUCUAGUUAAUGAGUUUUGUAAGUCUUUCCAUACUCAUUUCUCUUAUUGUUUGUUCUAGCUUAAGAGUCUGAGGAUUUUCUCAGUGGUGAGUUUUACCUUGUUUAAUUCUACAUCAUGUGUACACAUGUUAUUUGUCUUUUUAUUGCAAAUGUGUAGGAUAAUCUUUCACUUAUUUUCUUAUAGUGAACUCUAUCUUAGACAUUCAUCAACAUAUAGAGUUUACGACAGAGGACUUUUGCUACCAUAUUAUUCAGUGCAUUGAUUAAUUUGUAAAGCUCUCAUUUAUCCAAAUUAUAAAAUAUAAUCUGUACAAGACAUUAAAAAAAUGGAAGUGUCUUUCAACAGUUUGGAUGUCAUGUAUGGCCAUAUCCUUUAUUUCCAGAGUAAUGUUAUUCAUACCAUGUUUUUAUACCACAUUUAUAUACCACCUUAGGUGGCAUCUGAUGUGGACAACCACAUUAUUUGAAAAAUUUGCAAAACUCGAGAAAAUGAAGGAGAAAUACUCCUUGUAUGCCACAAUCAUAAUUUAAUUAACUAGUUUUUCUUAAUUAUUAGUUUAUUAAAUAAUGAACUAAAUUUAAAAAUCUGAUUAAUUGAAAUGAUGUGUCUGUUCACAUCAAAUGCCACCGAAUAUGGUAUGAAAAUAUUGUACAAAAACAUAAUAUAAAUAACAUUACUCUUAUUUCCACCAUUCUUAUCAACUGGAUGGGGAUAUAAAGACAUAAUGUGGCAAUCGUCCAUUAGAAAGGUAAUGUACGUUUUGAAAAUCGUGGCAAAUAUUGAAUGAGUAAUGACGCCUCUAAAAAUAAAAUUUAGUUAUUUGAAAGAAUCUUUCAUAAAAUAAAGUAACGAAUAAUCAACAAAAGUAGCAGUACACCAAGUUGAACCUUUUUCAACGUUGAAAUGAAAUAUGAAAGGAGAUCAAGUUGAUAUUAUUCAUCUACUUUUUUUUUUUUAAUAAACGAUAUUGUCUACGUUAAGAAAAUGGACUUGGCUAAGCCUCACAAUGGACUAGCAAUAAUAUGAUUCAAAUUCACAUUUAGCAAGAAUCAAACCAAAAGAAGAGAAAUAUUAUUAGACUGUAACAUUAUUCAUCCACUUUUAAAUAAUAAACAAUCAAGAAAAACACUGCACGCAGUCCCCUCUCGUCACUUACCACUAGUGCCAUCACUUCCCUGAGCAAAAGAGAUAUUUCCAAUUGCUUGACCAAAACAAGCAUUGAGUUCAUCCAUCAAUAACAGGUCCACAUCUCAACCCAAAUAUAAUGACGUCAAAGGAUAGGGGAAAAUGAGAAGGAAACUCUGGAGGGUAGAGGGAAGGAAAAGGAGAAAAGGACAAAGGAAGAAGGGAAAAGUAGAAAGGGAAGGAGGACAAUGAGAGGAAAUUUCGGAGAAUAGAGAAAAGGAGAAGGGAAAAGUAGAAAAGGAGAAAGGAAGGGAUAAGGGGAAGGAAGCUUAGGAGGGUAGGUAGAAGAAUGCAUAAAAAUAAAAAAUAAAAAAUAUAAAAGGAGAGUCGACUUCACCAUUAUGUCUACUAGCGGAAAGGAGCAACAUUGUAAAUUAUAUUUCGUAUAAUGAGAAAUUAGUAUUCCUACUUGAGGAUAUGACACAACUUGCCGAAUCUCGUUACGAUGCAGCAAGUUUAUAAUUGCACAACAAUUUGAUCAACCAUCUUAAGUUCAAGCAUACAUGUAUUAAGAUUCAAAUUUUUCCAGAUUUUCCUUAUGAAACUAACUGAACAUUACAAGUGCCACAUUAUUAUACGGUUCUAUCAAGUUUUAAUUAUUGUCUCAUAACCACAUCAUCUUUAGGACAAUAAUCUUGCGGUUGAAUAUAAAAACCUUCGACAUGGUGAUAUUGGAAACACUAGUUGGUGGGUUGAUUGGUAGAAAUGGUUCCAACACUUCAAGGAUGAGAAAUGAGUAUUGAGCAACGAUCAAAAUAUAUUGUAUUUUAUCACAAAAGAUGUGUGCAAUUAAAAGUGCAUUUUAUUACAAAAAAGAUGAGCAACGACCAAAAUAAUUGUUAUUUAUAAAAUCACACAUAAAACAAGAAGGAAUCUUUUCUUUUUCUUUUCAUCUCUGCCACUAGCGGCCGACCAUGACUUAAACCAUCUCCAACCCUUGGGCUAAAAGCCAAAUUUUUUAGCCCGGAAAAUUUAGCUUUUAACCUAGAAACAUCUUUCUACUCCAACCCUUCUACCCUAAAAUUUUAGCCCGGAAUUAUUAAAGAAUGAAAUUAGCCUAAAUUUUUUUCUUAAAUCAAUUUUUUUUUUAAAAUAAAUAUGUAGAUUAUUGUAAAUUAAUUUUAUGAACAUUUUAAUCUAAAAAAAUUUAAAUUCCGAUAAACAUUUCGCAUUUAGCCCGAGGAAAGCUGGGGGUAUUUGGCCCAGAAAUAGCAUUUAGCAUUUAGCCUAAAAUUUUAGCAUGGGUUGGAGAGUGUUUAGGGGGUAAUUUGGUAGGUAAUUUGGCUUUUAGCCGAAAUGGUCUUAAAGAAACGCUUUUUGGGUCAAUGGAUGGGAACGACCCAUUUUAUAAUAUUGUUUGUAAAUUUUUCUGGAAGUAGAUGGAAAAGACCGAUGUACAUAUUUCCCCUGCUCACAGACAUUUGCAUUGCACCUAGCAAACACCAGUUUUUUUGUUUGAACAUCGAUCCACAUCAAUGGCUCUUGUGAGAACAUCUCCAGGAACCUCCUCUGAUUCCAACACUUUUCGGAGUUAUCGCUACGACGUGUUCUUGAGCUUCAGAGGCGAAGAAACUCGCAAGACUUUUACCGACCACCUCUACACAGCCUUGAACAACGCAGGAUUUCUUACGUUCCGAGACGACGAUGAACUUGAGAGAGGAGAAUAUAUAAAGCCAGGACUGCAGAAAGCGAUCCAGCAGUCGCGAACUUCUGUUGUUGUGUUUUCGAAAGAUUACGCGUCAUCCAGGUGGUGUCUUGAUGAGCUUGUGCUGAUCCUUGAACGCAAGAGGACCACCUCGGACCAUGUAGUUUUACCAGUCUUCUACGAUGUCGAUCCGUCCCACGUGAGGAAGCAGACAGGAAGUGUUGGAAAAGCAUUUGCUAGAAGCCAGAAAAAUCAGUCGUCAGAAAAGGUGGAGGGAUGGAGGAAGGCACUUACAGAGAUUGCAGACCUAGCAGGCAUGGUCUUACAAAAUCAAGCUGAUGGGUAACUUUCAUUAUCUCCAUUUCUCAUUUCUUUCUUGGGUCAAUUUGAUGUAUGAUCCGUAGGGACCUAGAUUUGUAUGUAUUUAUUAAUUCAAUCUCAGUAGUGAAUAAUAAUCUCAAUUUAGGUCAACUUAUAGAAAUCACACUCAACUCAACUGAAGGAUUAGUCAUCUUCAAUGUUAAUCUACUGGUUUCCAGUUGCUUAAAUUUUUUUGAAAGCUGGUGUGGAAAAAAGUUUGGAUAAAUUAUGCGCUGUAUUCCUUUCUCUGUAACUUGAUAUGUGAUGUAUUUGUCUAUAGUUCGUAUAAAUUAUGCGCUGUAUUCCUUUCUCUUUUUUUUUUCAAUUUAAUUUUGUCAGCAGUCCUCUUUUUUUUCUUAUUUAAACAAAGGCAAUCAACAUAUGUUUUAGUUAUCUAAUUUCCCCAAUUCAUUUUUCAUUUUGUUUGCAAAUUCUUAGGUACGAGUCAAAGUUUAUCAAAAAAAUUGUUAAAGUGAUAGGAGACAAGUUAAGUCGCAUGCCAUUGAGUGUUGAACCAAAAUUGAUUGGAAUUCAAUCUCAAGCCGAGCGCAUCAAUUUGUGGUUCCAAGAUGGAUCAAGUGAUGUUGGUAUAUUUGUUGUGUAUGGCAUGUCUGGAAUAGGGAAGACAACCAUUGCAAAACAUGUUUACAAUUCAAACUUUGGAAGCUUUCAAGGAAGUAGUUUCAUUGAAAAUAUCAAAGAAACAGCAGAUCGACCAAAUGGCUUAGUUCAAAUACAAAUGCAACUUCUUUGUGAUAUUUUGAAUGGCAGAGAAGUGAAAAUACACAGUGUUAGUGAGGGAAUAAUUAAGAUUGAAAGGGCCAUAAGCUCUAAAAGAGUUCUACUUGUUCUUGAUGAUGUUGACCAUAUGGACCAAUUAGAUGCAAUCCUAAGGAUGAAAGAUCAGUUUUAUCCUGGAAGUAAGAUACUAAUAACAACUAGGUGUGAAAGGUUGUUAAAGGCAGAUCAAGUUACAGAGGUGCACAGAGUUCAAACUUUGGAUGACAAUGAAUCAUUAAAGCUUUUCAGUUGGCAUGCUUUUGGCCAGGACCAUCCCAUAGAAGAAUACAUGGAGCACUCAAAACAGCUAGUGCAACAUAGCGGCGGACUUCCAUUAGCUCUAAAAGUUUUGGGUUCUUCUUUAUCAGGAGGAAGUAUAGGUGUAUGGGAAAGUGCAUUGGAGAAGCUAAAAGUUAUUCCUGAUGGUGAAAUCAUGACUAAACUAAGAAUAAGCUAUGAAAGUUUAAAAGAUGACCAUGACCGGAAAUUAUUCCUCCACAUUGCUUGUUUCCUAAUAGGAAGGAACAAAAGCUACAUUGUUAGAAUAUUCGAUGGAUGUGAUUUCUAUACAAUCAUUGGCAUGCAAAAUCUCAUUGAUAGAUGCUUGGUGACACUUGAUGAAUACGGCAAGGUGAAAAUGCAUGACAUGAUUCGUGCUAUGGGAAGAGAAAUUGUUCGCCAAGAAUCAGAAGAGCCUGAGAAACGUAGUAGAUUAUGGCGCCAUAAGGAUUCUUUCCAAGUAUUGAGGAAAAAGAAUGUAAGAAACAUGCCUUUUAUGUCUAUAUAUGUAUUUCUUCUUGUGAAAAUUAUGCAUAAUAAUGUCUUUUUUUUUCCUUUAGGGUACAAAAAAAAUCCAAGGUCUUGUCCUGGAUAUGCGUAAUCAUCCUGCAAACAAUCCAAUAAACACAAAUGAGAUAGUCUUGGAAACCAAUGCAUUUGCAAAGAUGCGUAAUUUACAACUACUCCAUCUUAGUCAUGUACGACUGGAUGGAUGUUAUGCAGAUUUCCCUACAGGAUUAAGAUGGUUGUGUUGGCUUGAAUUUCCUUUGGAUUCUAUACCAAUUGAUUUUCCUUUGGAGAACGUAAUUGUUCUUGAAAUGCAAUACAGUAGCUUGAGACAAGUAUGCAAAGGAACAAAAGUAUGUUACUCUAUACAUUUCAAUUCAUUUUACUUAUUUUGUUAGUUUUUUAUUUGUUGAGUAACUCCAUGUGUUAAAAUGAAUUACUAUGUUUUCUUUAAUUCGAUGACUAAUUUUUUAUGUUAGAUACUUAUUUCAUUGUUCUUUUUUCUUUUCUUUUUUUUUUCCUCUAUUUCCACAGUUUCUUCCAUCGUUGAAGAUCCUUGACAUCAGCCAUUCUCAAUGCCUUAGUGAAACCAUUGACUUCUUUUCCCCAAUCUAGAGGAACUGAUUCUUGUAGAUUGCACAAGCCUGAAGAAUGUUCAUGAAUCCAUUGGAAACCUGGAGAGACUCGUGUACUUGAAUAUGAAGGAUUGCAAGAAUCUUAGGAUGCUUCCGAAGAACAUGUGCAUGCUUAAAUCACUUGAAACACUCAUUUUAUCUGGUUGCUCAAAUCUUGAUGAGUUUCCAGUGGAGAUGAUGAAGAAGAUGGAGUCUCUGAAAGUUCUUCAGACAGAUGGAAUUGCAAUAGGUGAAUUGUCGCCAGAAAGAUGUUUGAGUUCUUUUCCAUGCUCUUUAGUAGAGUUAAGUCUGAAGGGGUGCAAUCUUUCUGAUGAUGUCUUUCUUACGGAUUUAAGUAAUCUAUCCUACUUGAGAAGACUACAUUUGGAUGAGAAUCCAAUUUGCAGUCUGCCAGUUUUCAUCAAAGGUUUGAGGAGGAUCGAUGAACUCUCUUUCAAGGGUUGUGAUAGGCUCGAAUCCCUUGUGGGGUUGCCGGAAGUACACCAAAGGAUGAGUAUAGUCGGAUGCAUAUCAUUAAAAAAAAUAACUUUUCAUUCCCCUAAGCAAUUGUAUCCAAUAUAUGUGGGUGACAACUGGAAUCUUGUUGAGUGGGGGUGCUAUUACAAAUUAGAGCCUAUUGAUAGAGUUGAUGUGGAAAUGAUCAAACUUUUGGGCUUGUGCAACUUGGAAUCCAUGCCAGCUGUUCAAAUGCAUUAUCCAGACUCAGACAGCGAUCCAAAAGAGGUCCCCGUCCAGGUGCGCCUUUCUUUCUCUCUCUCAUAAGUCUUAAAUAUAUAAUGGGAAAGAAAUGACUGAGUAAUAUUGUGAUGACUGUGGCAAAUACAUAGGGACUCUAUGAAUGUGGUAUAUUCAGCACGUUUUUUGUUGAGAAUGAGGUCCCAGGCCGGUUCAGCUAUAAAAGUACCAAGUCCUCGAUAUCUUUUAUUGUCCCUUUACUACUUGCUAGUCACAGAAUUCGAGGCUUGAACAUCUUUGCUACCUAUGCAAAGGAAAAUUCAAAUAAUUAUUUUACUAGACCUGGCAUUGCUCCAAUAAUGAUCAAAGUGAGAAACAAGAGUAAGGGUCUGAAGUGGAUCUAUGGCCCAAUAUUCUAUGGUAUCCCAGGUGACGGAGAAGAUAUGAUAUGGUUGAGCCAUUGGAAGAUGGAGAAUAAAACAAUAUUACAAUGUGGAGAUGAAGUGGUGGUUUCGGUAAUAACCGGACCAUGUGACUUGUUUUGGGUAAAGGAGUUUGGUGUCGAGCUUGUGCCAGAGCACCAAGACAAGAUGAGUACCCAACACAACACCAAAUCAGAUCCUAAUUAUCCACUUGUUAUCGGUGGAGAUUUGGAGACGUGGAAGUGCAGACCGGGAAUAUACUUCCUUGGUGGUCGGACAAGUACAGAUACUGACGACAUUGAUAUCCUCACCAUGGACUCUGAUGAAGAAGACACAAGUAUGUUGUGUUGUUGUAUUGCAUUGAAUUAUACUCCAUCGAAACACUUCCAGGUGUGUCUGUAUUCAUUUCAAAAACGUUUCAAUAAAUUUUAUGUUAUUUAUAUGUUUUUCAGACGAAGAAGGGCAAGAGGAUGAAUCUGAUUACACAAUUGCAAAAACGAGGGCUGCUAGCAAUAACUGCAGUUUGAGAGGCUGGAAGGUGCACCUCACGGCUGUCGGCUUCUUUUUCGCGCUUGCUCUAGUAAGUUGGUCCUCCCACUCCCGAAAAAAGAAGCGACAGUCGUCCACAAGCCCACCAUGAGUUUGUAAUUUGACUUGAUAUGGAUAUAUCUUUGCAUUCCUUGCUCUCAAGAUGUUUUCUACCUUCAAAACUUCAGGUUCAGAGCUAAGCAUUCUUAACCGCUUGAGAUAUAAAUGCCCUUUGUAACUAGAUACCGAAGUUCAAAUGUGUUCAACUCCAUCAAAUAUAGCAUAAAAUACAUCCAGCAUUGAAUGCAUGUGUUUUGAACUACAAGAAAUCUUAUACAUUGGGUAGACCGUAUAGUGUAUCACAUUCAAAUGCAAUUAUUCAUGAAGAUGAAGUAUGAGAUGCCCUAAUUGUUUUACCAGAAGAUGCUGGAUCAAUUGUCUCAAAAAAUUAUUUCGGUAAUUGUUGGUAAAACUCAAAGUUAUCCAAAAGUUUGGGGUCAGCAUAAGCUUAUGCAUCAGCAUCAGAUUGUGUCUCCUAUCAGACUGAAGGAAUAAAAUUACUCAAUUUGUGCAAAUAAAAAUAAAAAUUUUAUAACACAUCAAAGAGAUAAUUAAAGGAGACCUCACAAGCUGUACAUCCAAGUGGCAAACAAAUCAAAAUUUUAAAUAAAGCUAAUGGCGCAUGAAGAGUAUUGAAACACUCAUAGCCCUCGCACACAGGUUGCAUGGUCUUUUCUUAUAACAAUAAAAGGAACAAAUUCAUCAAGUCACAUUUGGGCCAUUAAAAAAAGCUACAAAUUCAUCUUUCCAUGUCUUUAUCUCACAAACCCAUAAUGUGGCAAUCCUCCAUUAGAAAGGUAACGUACGUUUUGAAAAACGUGGCAAAUAUUGAAUGAGUAAUGACGCCUCUAAAAAUAAAAUUGAAUUAUUUGAAAGAAUCUCUCAUAAAAUAAAGUAGGGGUAAAGUACAAAAAAUUACUUCAAAUAUUAGUCUCAUGACAUUGUCAUACUUCAUCUUUUAAAAUUGACAAUAUCAUACCUCAUCUUUAGAAUUUGGUCAAUUUUAUACCAUCCUUUAGCCUGACCGUUAAUUUGUCAGUUAAAUACUGACGUGGCUUGAUCCAAACCCCACUUUCUAUUAAAAAAUUAAGAAAAUAUUAAAAACCCCACCCCCUAUCUCUCCUCCCUCAUCUUCUUCCCCUGCUCUGCCCAGAAACGAAACGAACAAAAAAAAAAAAAAAAAAAUCAAAACCCAAUUCGUCCCCACCCCACCCCACCCCCUCUAUCUCCUCCCCCAUCUUCUUCCCCUGCUGCCCAGAAACGAAACGAAAAAAAAAAAAAAAAACUAAAAAUCAAAACCCAGGUCGUCCCCACCCAAGACUUGGGCUCGCACACCCAUGGCUCGCCGGACCUGGGUUGGGUGUCCUCUGGGUGCCUCGGAGCUUCACGGAGACGAAAAGAGAAAGGGUUGACGCCAAUGAUGGUUUUGGUACCGUCGUCGGUGGGUGUGGGUGUGUAAAUGGGUGCGUGAGUGUAGAUCUGGGAGAGGGGUAUAGUCUGUGCGAGAGAGGGGGAGAAAGAGUGAGUGAGCUGAGAGAGAGGGAGAUGUUGGCAUGGGUGGGGAAGGGUGGGGGGUUGCACGGAGGGGGAACGGGAAGGGGUCGGGGUGGGGGGGGGGGAGAUGAGAAUGGGUUCUGGGAUGCAGAGAAGAGAGAAAGGCGAGAGAGAAGGGGAGAGAGAGAGAGGAGAGAGAGAGAGAUUUAAUAUAAAAAUAAAAAAGAGAGGAGAGAGAGAGAUUUAAUAUAUAUUUUUUUAAUUUUUGAAUAUUUAAUUAUUAAAAAUGUAUUUUAUUAUUUUUUAAUCCAAUUGGAUUGGAUUAGUGAGUGGAACACGUGUCGGGCCACGUCAGUAUUUAACAGAAAAAUUAACAGAAAAACUGACGGAGGUGCGACAUUGACACAAAUUCCUAAGAUAAGGUAUGACAUUGUCAAUUUUAAAAGAUGAGGUAUGAAAGUGUCGUGACACCAAUAGUUGAGGUAGUUUUUUUAUACUUUACCCAAUAAAGUAACGAAUAAUCAACAAAAGUAGCAGUACACCAAGUUGAACCUUUUUCAACGUUGAAAUGAAAUAUGAAAGGAGAUCAAGUUGAUAUUAGUCGUCACUUGUAUUUUAUUUUUUUGAAUAAACGAUAUUGUCUACAUUGAGGAGAAUGAGUUCGUUAAGCCUUACAAUGGGCUAGUAAUAAUAUAGUUCAAAUUCGUAUUUGGCGAGAAUCAAAUCUAAAGUUUCUCACUUACAAAUGAAGAGAAAUAUCAUUGGACUAUAACAUUAUUCAUCUACUUAAAAAUAAUGAAUAAUCAAGAAAAACAUUGCACGGUCCCCCUCUCGUCACUUACCACUAGUGGCCAUCACUUCCUUGAGCAAAAGAGAUCUUUCGAAUUGCUUGACCAAAAUAAGAAUUGACUUGGCUGUCCGUCCAUCAAUAACAGGUCCACAUCUCAACCCAAAUAUAAUGACGUCAAAUGAGAAGGAAACUCUGGGGGGUACAGGGAAGGAAAAUGAGAAAAAGGGAAAAGUUGAAGGGGAAGGAGGAAAAUGACAGGAAAUUUCGGAGAAUAGAAAAAAGGAGAAGGGAUAAGAAGGAAAAAUGGGAAGGAAGCUUAGGAGGGUAGAGAAAAAGAGGGAAAUGCAUAAAAAUAAAAAAUAAAAAAGGAAAGUCGCCUUCAUCAUUAUGCCUACUAACGGAAAGGAGCAACCGCAUUGUAAAUUAUAUUUCGUAUAAUGAGAAACCAGUAUUCCUACCCCGAGGAUAUAGACACAACUUGCCGAAUCUCGUUACUAUACAGCAAACAUAUAACUGCACAACAAUUCGAUCAACCACCUUAAGCUCAAUCAUAAAUGUACCAAGAUUCAAGUUUUUCCAAACUUUCCUUAUGAAAUUAACUGAACAUUACAAGUGCCAUAUUAUUAUGCGGUUCUAUCAAGUUUUAAUUUUUGUCUCAUAACCACAUCAUCUUUAGGACAAUCAAUAUUGCAGUUGAAUAUAUAAACCUUCGAUAUGGUGAUAUUGGAAACACUAGUUGGUGGGUUAAUUGGUAGAAAUUGUUCCAACAAUUCAAGGACGAGAAAUGAGUAUUGAGCAACGAUCAAAAUGUGUUGUAUUUUAUCACAAAAGAUGUUUGUGCAAUUAGAAGUACACUAGAAAGUUUGCCCGAUCGUUGCUGCGGGAAUGUCAAAUAUAUUGUAAGUAUUGUAUAUAAAUGUUACAUAAGGGAACAAAUAUGUUGCAAGAAUUGUGUGUAGAAUUUAUAAAACACGUACCAAGUAUUUGCAUAAAAUUUAAAAUAUAUAGUUGUUACUUGUUCAAAUUAUAACAGCUUGUACAAACAUGAGUUUGAAAUUCACCUGCCUUAACUUCUCCACACUUUACACACAGAGACCCUUAUCUUUUUUGGUGGUUUAAAAGCUUGCAAAUCACGGGAGGCUGUCCAUUUUGUUACAAAGAUGCAGAACCAAAAUAUAUAUUUUAUCAAUUUUCGAGAGCAUAAAUGGACAAAUUAAAUUGUAUGUAAAGAAUGUGUAGCAAAAUAUCAAAUAGCAAAAGAAAUCUCAACAUAACUCUACCACAACAAUAAGGAAUCUCAAAUAGAAAAAAGGGAGACUUUGGAUGCGGUCCCUAGUUAUGAAUAGUCUUUGACUGAAACCUUGUUGGUUUUCAAUUUUU